rnacentral:lncRNA from 1 species
UGGAUCCUUGGAGCAGCUUUCAAACGACGUAUAAGCUACAGGAUAAGCUUAGAGAAAUGUUCAUUUGCUGAGAUACUGGAUGCUUACCGAAAGAGGGGAAUUGCAUGUAAGAGAAGGGAGAAUCUUCAUGGACUGGCUUCCACCAAUCGAAGUUUCGCGCAUUUCAGAUGGUGGUAAAGUGAUACCACAUAAGGAGCUCUUCCUCAUUCAGUCAUAUUCCUAAGUAAGAAAUGUUUGAGCCUUCACCUUUUUUCAUCUUCAUAUAGAAAGAAAAUCGGCUUUCCUCAUACUCCCCCCUUCAUUCAUUGAGUUGGAGGAAUCCACAAGAGGCCCGUCCGUUCAUAAUUGCAUAAAAGAACCUUUCUUUUUAUGAAAACUCUUGUUCCAACCUUAGGUCGAAUGAAUACGAAAGGGAGAUCAAUCAAAUCAAUAAGCCAUGAAUGAAGAAGUAGAGGGCCUUUCACCUUAUUUCGUUUUACUCGUGGAGCUGAUAAAUCUACUUCAAAGGGAGGGAAGCUAGGAGUGAGGGUCUUCUCCUUGAUUUUUUUCAAAAAUUUCUUUAGUCUCACCAGCGGCUUUUACCCACCAGCAUAUCGCCCAGCAUUAGUGGAGGGUCGAAGAAAUUUCCGUACCUUCCUUUUUCGUCUUUAUCACCCUUCGCUUAUCACUUCUACACUAGCAGAUGUUGGAGCACCACUCAUGUUCAGAGCAGGAAAGGUUCUACACUCUAUUAUGAAGUAAGGAAGAUCUGGAUACAGAAACUUCUACAAUUGCUAAUGCCGGAACAUCGCAAAACGGAAGAUUCUAUGAUGCACACAUAGACGUAAGUAAUUUACUUUUUUUUACACCAAUGCUGGAUAAGAGAAAAGUGUCCUAAGCCAGGCGAGCCUAAUUCUAGCGUAGGCCGACCGGGAGCCGUCGAAUGCUCGGAUCAAUUGCUACCUCUGCUGUUGGUGCUUUUUGCACUAGACGGAAUGAACCGACUGCCGGGAAAACACAAUGUAUCUACCCCCCGGGUCAAUUUCUUCUUCGAUUGGUUUAGAAAAUGUCACCUUUGCCGCUGACGCCGUCAUAGUUAUUAGCACAAGUACAGUACCUCUACCAUCUACUUGAAACCUUUCAUACCAAGUCACUGCAUAGCUACGCCCGCAAUGAGCAAUGGGUAGACGCGAGCGAGAAAAGGCACGCAGAAUAGUUUAUUUAGGAAAUGAGAAUCGUAGGAGUGCACGGAAGAGUGCGAUUGGUUGAUGUUGGGCGAGCGAACCCGCUUAUGGUCUAUCCUUGUAUAGUAGCGAAUAGAAAGGGAUAGACAACUACUAGAACGCAAGGCCUAUUCAUCAUAAGAUCGAAAACGGAACAUUAUGAGAAUUGAUCAGAACCCUCCACUCUCCAGUCCGGGGACGGGAGGCCACAAAUGGAGUAUGGCAACUGAUCAAUAGCUUCAACUGAUACUGCUUCUAAUGGAGAAACUGGCUAGUAGAGACAGACGGACUAUCUUUGUCAAAGGAAGCCAUAUAAUUAGGCAAACCAUGAAGAAUAAAUGUCAAGCAAGCAGCCACCUGUACGAAUAUAGCUAGCGAAUUUGCAGAUGUGCUUCGUUUCACUUAAUGUAGGGUAGGCAAGGGCAGGGAAGUAAACAACAGCAAAGAGGGCUCAGACGAGGUGAGUGGCGGGCUUCUUUAAAGCUUCUUCUGGACUGCGACAGGGGGACCCAUUGCCCCCGUACCUUUGAACUCUGGUUAUGGAAGGUUUCACAGCUCUCAUGGAGUAUGCCUCUCUGUGUAAACAGAUAAAACCGGUGAAUAAUGGUGGCCCGUUCAGCAUCUCGCACCUAAUAUUUGCUGACGACCUUCUGGUCUUCACAAAUGGAGAUGAUAGAUCACUGAAAUAACCAGAGAAAGUCUAAAAGGAGUUUGAGGGUCAAGCUGGUAUGAAAGUCAGUGUGGAAAAACUCCAAUUUGACUUGGGAGGUAACAUGAAUGGUAGAAGAAUUAGAUCGAGAUUGCACAAGGAAUUUACCCAUCAGGUACAACGGCCUACCUCUCUUCUCUUCCCGUUUGAAAGCGUCCCUUUUCCAAUCCCUGUCAAAGUCAAGAUUUCUGGCUGGACAGGCAAACUCUUAUCCUUUGCGGGUCGGUUUAAGCUUAUCAAGUGGGUCCUCCAUGCAUAUCAGAUGUAUUGGUUGGCUGCGAUUUUUUCUUCCCUCCUUGAAGGUGAUAGAAAAGAUGAUGAUUGUGGAAUGGUGCCAAUCCGAAGCAAGGUUAUAUGACUGUUAGCUGGACUAAGAUCUGUACUACCAAGCAAGGAGGAGGGCAGCCAAGACUUGCUCAUGGAUGAAAGCAAAACCGGGCUGGCAUAAACAGAACUCGGAUGGGGCUCUUUCAGAUAGCGGUGCAGGUAUGGGUAUCGUCAUCAGAGAUGCCAAUGGCUCCUAGAUCAAAAGCAAAUCCUUCCAUUGCGGGAAAGAAGAUAUCCUACAUAUCGAACUCGGUGCUAUCCGAAAGAGGAAUUGGCCAUCGACCUAGGAUUUUCGAGGCUCUAGAUCGAAGCGGACUCCCUUUUGGCUGUCGUGUGCGCAGAUCUCUCGUCUGCCCUUGGAAUGAAAGAAGAAAUUUUGCUCAUAUCUUGCAUCUCCUCCAACAGAUACCCGAUUGGAAAAUGGGGAAGCUAACUUCUGUGCCGACCAUGAAGCUAAGAUUGGACUUGACGGUGACGAAGUCACUAUUUUGGCUGAUCUUCUGCCACCCCCUCUACAGCCUUUUCUAGAAGAAAAGAAGACAGAUCUUGAACGCAAUACACUCGAGCCUAACAAUCAAUCUCAGGCAGCCUCUACUAAACUCCGGGAACUUUCUGAUUAUGUGUAAUCAGUUGUUUUCAAAGUCGUUUUAUCCUUUUAUUUUUGAGGAUAUUGACGGAACUAUUUCUUUUUUUAUAAAAACUGGUAUGGUAGGUGCCCUCGUGGGAUUGUCGAUAAGCAAGACCUUGCAAAGACUAGCUUAUCAGGCUCUCUUUGAGCUACAAGCGAUUUGUGAGCCUGCUAUAUAUUCCGGUUUUUCUUCUAGUAGGUAGAGUAGCCUACACUUGAGUAGGUCUGUAUUUUUAGUAACUAACUAACUAACCCUUUAGUUGGUCUGUGGAUAGUCAGUCUGUAGAUAGAGUAGCUUACCCUUCAACUAGUUAUUUUUCUUCAUCUGGCUGUCGAUCCCUACCUACUGGCUGUCUAACUGCACUAUUCCCUUGGGAAUGGUUGACCAACUCACUAAAAUCAUGAGGAGCUUUCUGUGGGAGAAAAGUGAUUGUACCAAAGGCCUUCACCUCAUAAGCUGGGGCAAGGUCACUAAUGCUACCAAUGCUGGCGGGUUAGGCAUUAGAGAUCUUAGAACUUUGCAGCCAGCCCUCCUUGCGCCUAAGGCUUGGAAUUUGAUUAGGAUCGAGAUUUUUAAAAAUCAGUAUGCUACCUUUCAUCCCUGGAGAUCUGGGAAAAAGAAAAAGAAGUCACCUCUUUACAAAGCUAUCCACAAUUCUAUGGAAUCCAUGAAAGAUGGCUUGAUCAAACAACUUGGAGAUGGCAAAUCUACCUCUAUCCUUGACGACCCGUGGGUGUUUGAGAUUCCUAUUGCUAUCAAGCCCACCCUCAUCAAUAUGGAUUUGCAAUUUGGCAAUAGGAAGGUCAGCUGGCUGUUAUCCAAAGGUAGUUGGAGGUCUAAUCGCCUGCUGGAACUCUUCGGUGAGUCUCUGGCAAUGGCGAUUUUCUCUCUUCCUAUUCUUGUUGCCAAAACUCAUGAUGAUUGGAUAUGGAUGCAUCAACCCAAUGGUCAGCCUUCGGUGAAAUCGAUCUAUGAGUUCAUCCACAGGGACCCCCAAAACACUAAGACCUGUUGGCCUGGUUGGACCAAAAUUUGGAAAUUGAAGGUUGCCCCCAGAAGAAUAGCUCUAUAGUUUUUCUCAUUGGCAGAAGUGCAGUGCAGAUCAGAAGGUCGUCCACAAACAUAAGAUGAGAGACCUUACGAGUGCGAUUAAUUCAAAACCCAUCAAUGUCACCUCUAUUCAUGCAAUCGUUAAGCAGAUGGGUAAGCAAUUGGGAGCAUAAAAUAAAGAGAUAAGGUGAAAAGGGUCUCCCUGUCUAAUACCACAGUUAGUCUUCAACCAUUUUGUCGGAGUACCAUUGAUAAGCAAGGAAAAGGAAACAGAGGUAAUGCAAGCCUUAAUCCACAAGCACCAUUUGGCAGGGAAAUUCAUAGCAUCCAAAAUCGAAAGAAUAGCAUUCCAAUCAAGCCGGCCAUAAGCCUUUUCCAUAUCGAUUUUAAAAAGCAUCAAAGGAUCGUCACGGUUCCUGCUAAAUUCCAUGGAAUGCACGAUUGAAUGCACAGCCAUAAUGUUGUCAGAGAUGUUCCUACCAGCCACAAAAGCAGCCUGCUCAGCUCCUAACAUGUUAGGCAACAGGGUUUUCAUUCUGUUCACUAGGACUUUAGACAGCAGCUUGUAGAUCACAUUACACAAGGAAAUGGGCCUUCAUUCUUCCACCUUGGAAGGGUUGGGCCGUUUAGGGACCAGGGUAACAAAGGUCUGACCCCACAGAGAAGGGUCAGUAGCAUGAAACUUUUCAAAGGCCAGACCAAUGCCACUACCCAACUGAUCCCAGAAGCAUCUAAAAAACUCUACCUGAAAACCAUCAGGCCCAGGGGCCUUUCCAAGGGGCAUCGACCACAAGGCUGCUCUAAUCUCCUCAAUGGAGAAGGGUUUAAGGAGCUCAUCCUCGCAGGCAUUAGGGAUAGAAGGGAAGUUGGUUAAGUUGAGACUACAUAAAUUAGUGGAGUUAGGAGUAGCCCAAAUGUUCCUAAAAUGAUUAAAAAAAAACAUUACCUAUCUCCUUAGGAUCCUCCACUCUAGAACCCUCACAGUCAAGAAUAGCAGCAAUCCCUAUUAUUGCGUCUCCGCUCCGGAUAAGGGUAGAAGUAUGAAAAAAUUUUGUAUUAAGGUCACCUUUUUGCACCCGGAUUUGGAUCUCCAUUUAGUAUCCAAUUGACGCAAUAAGGCAAGAUGGUGGUUAUAAAGGGUCUGCAGGUUGCGUUUGUCAUUCUUGCUAAGUCCACCAGCGGAUUGUUUAAGUUCUAACUCCAGGAUUUUUUAUUUCACCGAAUCAAUGAGAUUUUCCAGUUUGCCAAGGUCCUUUUUGUUCCAGUAGGUGACCCUAUCUCUGAUAAUACUGAAUUUAGCAAGAAGAUCAGAGAAGGCAUCAUCAUACAAAACAUUAGAGCAAACAUCCCUAACCAAAUUGUGAACAGUUUCAUAUUCUAACCAAAAGAGUUCAAAACGAAAAGGACGCUUGGCAGAAAGAUUUCUACAAGUAAAAUAAAAAGGUUAAGGAGCAAAGGAGCAUGAUCCGAACCACUUCUUGGAAGAUGUUUAACUAAAGCAUCAGGAAAUAAAGAAAUCCAGUCACCAUUCGCCAGACAGCGAUCAAUACGGCUCCAGACCCUGGCUUCCUCGGACCGGUUAUUACACCAGGUAAAACGAGGUCCAGUGAAUCCAAGGUCAAAAAGCCUAGCACGGGAGGUAAAGUCACAGAACAAUCUCACAGAUUGUGACAAGGAAAAAUCUUGACCUCCCCGCUUUUCAGACGGAUCAAAAAUCAUAUUGAAAUCACCCAAACAAAGCCAAGGAACCAACAUAUGUUAAAUACAUUCCAGCUCAGAGCAAAGAGAAUUUUUUUCCGGAAAGGUAUUACCUGCAUAAGUGGCGGAGAUGAUCCAAGGUUGACGUUGAGGCAUGUAGACAACACCAUGCAUGACUUGUCUUGAGCGAUGAAAGGUCACAAUACUUACCGCUGUUUUCUUCCAGGCCAUGGCAAUGCUCCCCGAGAGACUACAUGCUAUUCAUUUGGAAGACGAAAUUGUGAGGAAGCAUUGCACAGGUCAGAGAGAGAAUACGAUAGCGACCUUUUUUUGUAUAGAAAGUAUGGAGGUUCGGAAUGGAAUGUUAAAGUUUGUUUGGGCCUGUCAAGUGGGGCCCCCGCCCCCCUAAAUAAGGUAAAGGCGUCGACUUGAGAGCCUUCGGAACUGGACUCCCCUUUAUUGUUCUUUCAAAUAGUUGGAUGAAAUACGAAUAAUAUCUGCGCCUAUCUAUUGAGUUCAAUGGCAGAGCCUCCGUAGAAUGACUCCUGGGAGGGACAGUUUUAUAGUAAAUAUGUAUAGGUCCGCUAAUGAGAAAGCUUUACCUUUUUUUACCUGACCCUCUCGACACUCCCCGAUCAUGGGUCUCCGGCACCUACCGCAGUGAAGGCCGCUUACUGUCCAUCAUGGCUGAGUUCGAGCUCCCCCGUGUCCACCAUAGACACAUCCUACUUCACCCACUUUUUUUACGCAUUCCUCACACCUGACCCCGUCUCAUAUGAGCUUACAGUGUCAGAAUCCGACAGUCCCUUACUAUCCAGCUUCACCACCACCCUUCAUCACAAGAAUCCACCGGUUAAGAACCUACUCUCUAUUGCCGGAGACCACGCCAUCUUCGCUCGCAUGGCUACCAAAGCUUCAUCGACUCCACAAUUGAGAUUGGACGGAAAUACGGAUUCGAUGGACUGGAUCUCGAUUGGGAGUUCCCCCAAAGCACUCAAGAGAUGGAAGACCUCGGUGUCCUUCUGGAGGAGUGGCGGCUCGCGCUCAUAAAAGAAGUCACCUAGCUGUAGCGAGCCGGCUGGGAUGAAUGCAUUUAAAGCAAACGGGACCGUAGAGGGUGGGCCUGCCUUACCGGUCACGAUUCCAUCGCCCACGAAGAUCAACGAUGCACGGACGGUCUCAGCUCGCGGUCCCAGGCAUGAAGAGCAUGAGCGGGUGAGCUCCACCUCUUCCUCUACCUUAGGCGGGAGCGCGACCUGCUCCCCGGUCCCAUGGUGCUCUUUGUUACCGUUAGCGCCCCGUUAGUGCUUCUUUACCAUUUAAAUUUUAGCCUACCCUCUUUUCUGCCUUUUUAAUUUAAGUAAGUAAGAAAAUUAAAGCAAAAAUGCUUUAUCUUUGAUAUUGAAUAUUGUAGAACAUUAAGAAUAGAAAAAUGGAGAAUAAAAAAAAUAGAUGUGAAUCAAACAAAGGUGGGGGAUAACCUUAUGACAAAUUUCUAAAAGGUAGGGGAUAACCCUAUGAUAAAGAACUCAAGUUCGGGUAGAGAAGUCAAAGUUUUAGCUCAACAUAGUUGUAUGUCUGUUUUCAAAGCGCGAAGAGUAAUUGAUCAGAUUCGCGGGCCUUCCUAUGAGGAAAGACUUAAUAUACUGGAACUCAUGCCUUAUCGAGCAUCUUAUCCCAUUUAUAAAUUGGUUUAUUCUGCAGCAGCAAAUGCUAAUCAUAAUAUGGGUUUGAACGAAGCUGAUUCAUUCAUUAGUAAAGCCGAAGUCAAUAGGAGUACUAUUGUGAAUGUGAAAAAGUUAAGACCCCGGGCUCGAGGACGUAGUUAUCCGAUAAAAGAUAAAAAGACCGACGUGUCAUAUAACAAUAAAAAAAAAAGUAUUUAAGGAUGGCAGUUAACUCUGAAGCAAAAUCGGCUUUAAGCCGUCCCAUCUCUUCUCAGGCACCUUGACGAACUGCUGUGCCAUUGUGUUUACAUAGAUUUCCUCUUUCUUGUGCUUGGAUAGAGGCUCCAAGCCAAAUCCUUGCGAGCCGGGAGAUAGAACCUUGAUGCUCAAACCAAGGCCUCGACAAGCAGAAGUAAAGAUUACAGGCUUCACCAAACGGGAAGGCAGCUGCGGCCCCGGCAAGUUCAAAACGCUGUUGUACAGCGGCAAAAUGGGCUCUCCUCUCUCCAGCCCAUAAUAGUCCAUGGCAGUGAAGAGGGUGGCCAAGUCUUCAUCAGAUACCUCGGGCUCCGGGUCAGACAGCUCCGGGAUAUCUCCAAAAGGGAACUCCCUCCUAUUCACAUCCUCAUAAAAAUCUGGGGAUGACGACCCCUCAGCAGCAGUAGCAGCACCAGUCUGCGUGACUGCUUCUGCAGCAGCAAAAACAGAAGUAUUUACAGGAUCCGCCAAACGCCUCAACUCAUCCGAUGGGGUCGGUGAAGGCAACUUAGCUCCAGGGGAAGGGGAGCGAGGAAGAGAAGGAAGCCCAGAGGCAGCUUCACCCUCAGCACCAAAAGAUUGCUCUCUAUGAUCAGCCAUUUCUGCAAAUGAAGGCAGUUUAAAGUCAGAAUAUUGAUAUAAAAUCUUCAAGUUGCAAAGAAAGACAAAAUUCUAUCAAAGUAUGAUGAUAUAUUGUUAGAAAGAAGGAAACUUCCUGCUACUUCAAGUUUUUAAACAGGAAGAGUCAACUCAGAAACUAGAAUAUUACAGUGAAAUUUACAUAUUCCUUAACUUUGAUUUGAUUUUAUUUUUUAAGUAAAGAGAUUGAAAUAUAGAGGUAUUUUACUUCUAUUCUAUAAGUUGAGGAAAUUCUUACACAAUUAAGGGGAUUUCAGAUCCAGUGUUAUAAAUUUCUCAUGUCUACUGCAAAUUCAAGGUUUUAAUCCUUUAUUAUUAAGUUCUCCCGCAAAAAUCCUGGAAGAUAAACCCUAAGCGGCAGCACCGCAAAGAGAUAUGUGAAAGACAAAGACUUAAAAAAAAAAAGGGAAUAGCUCAUAGGCUGAUUACUGCUUGGUGGAGAAUGGGAGAAACUUCUGNNNNNNNNNNNNNNNNNNNNNNNNNNNNNNNNNNNNNNNNNNNNNNNNNNNNNNNNNNNNNNNNNNNNNNNNNNNNNNNNNNNNNNNNNNNNNNNNNNNNNNNNNNNNNNNNNNNNNNNNNNNNNNNNNNNNNNNNNNNNNNNNNNNNNNNNNNNNNNNNNNNNNNNNNNNNNNNNNNNNNNNNNNNNNNNNNNNNNNNNNNNNNNNNNNNNNNNNNNNNNNNNNNNNNNNNNNNNNNNNNNNNNNNNNNNNNNNNNNNNNNNNNNNNNNNNNNNNNNNNNNNNNNNNNNNNNNNNNNNNNNNNNNNNNNNNNNNNNNNNNNNNNNNNNNNNNNNNNNNNNNNNNNNNNNNNNNNNNNNNNNNNNNNNNNNNNNNNNNNNNNNNNNNNNNNNNNNNNNNNNNNNNNNNNNNNNNNNNNNNNNNNNNNNNNNNNNNNNNNNNNNNNNNNNNNNNNNNNNNNNNNNNNNNNNNNNNNNNNNNNNNNNNNNNNNNNNNNNNNNNNNNNNNNNNNNNNNNNNNNNNNNNNNNNNNNNNNNNNNNNNNNNNNNNNNNNNNNNNNNNNNNNNNNNNNNNNNNNNNNNNNNNNNNNNUUUCAGUUUCAAGUUCUCAGCCGGAAGAUUUCUUGCAGCAAGAAGCCCUAGAUGGCGCAAUGAGCACGAAAAGUUCUCUUAAGGAUGAAGAUUAGUCUUCACAAGCCUUCGGCCGCAACCCACCUUCUUCAGGUUUUGAGGCCGAAGAAGAAGAUGAAGAAGUGAAGCAGAAAGAUCGCAAAGGCCGCAACGAAUGGUCGCCGGAGAUGCGCAAGACUCAAGUGUAAGAGGGUUCUCUCUCUGUCUGCUCUCAGUUCGCGCAAAGUGAGGAGACUGAUGAAACAGUCCACUUCAAAAGUAUCUCUCUUGUAGAGACAGACGGACUAUCUUUGGCAAAGGAAGCCAUAUAAUUAGGCAAACCAUGAAGAAUAAAAGUCAAGCAAGCAGCCACCUGUACGAAUAUAGCUAGCGAAUUUGCAGAUGUGCUUCGUUUCACUUAAUGUAGGGUAGGCAAGGGCAGGGAAGUAAACAGCAGCAAAGAGGGCUCAGACGAGGUGAGUGGCGGGCUUCUUUAAAGCUUCUUCUGGACUGCGACAGGGGGACCCAUUGUCCCCGUACCUUUGAACUCUGGUUAUGGAAGGUUUCACAGCUCUCAUGGAGUAUGCCUCUCUGUGUAAACAGAUAAAACCGAUGAAUAAUGGUGGCCCGUUCAGCAUCUCGCACCUAAUAUUUGCUGACGACCUUCUGGUCUUCACAAAUGGAGAUGAUAGAUCACUGAAAUAACCAGAGAAAGUCUAAAAGGGUCAAGCUGGUAUGAAAGUCAGUGUGGAAAAACUCCAAUUUGACUUGGGAGGUAACAUGAAUGGUAGAAGAAUUAGAUCGAGACUGCACAAGGAAUUUACCCAUCAGGUACAACGGCCUACCUCUCUUCUCUUCCCGUUUGAAAGCGUCCCUUUUCCAAUCCCUGUCAAAGUCAAGAUUUCUGGCUGGACAGGCAAACUCUUAUCCUUUGCGGGUCGGUUUAAGCUUAUCAAGUGGGUCCUCCAUGCAUAUCAGAUGUAUUGGUUGGCUGCGGUUUUUUCUUCCGGUGAUAGAAAAGAUGAUGAUUGUGGAAUGGUGCCAAUCCGAAGCAAGGUUAUAUGACUGUUAGCUGGACUAAGAUCUGUACCACCAAGCAAGGAGGAGGGCGGCCAAGACUUGCUCAUGGAUGAAAGCAAAACCGGGCUGGCAUAAACAGAACUCGGAUGGGGCUCUUUCAGAUAGCGGUGCAGGUAUGGGUAUCGUCAUCAGAGAUGCCAAUGGCUCCUGGAUCAAAAGCAAAUCCUUCCAUUGCGGGAAAGAAGAUAUCCUACAUAUCGAACUCGGUGCUAUCCGAAAGAGGAAUUGGCCAUCAACCUAGGAUUUUCGAGGCUCUGGAUCGAAGCGGACUCCCUUUUGGCUGUCGUGUGCGCAGAUCUCUUGUCUGCCCUUGGUUGUCCCCAUAAUUCAUGUGACAUUUUUAGACCAUAAAUACUGUAUAUGUGGGAAGUAGCACUUCUGUAUGCAACACAAAGCCAAUCAUCUAACUCUACAUGCAUAAAUCAGAUUAGAAAGGCAAUAGCUUUUCUUUCAUUUUAAAAAAGCUCAAAGAAUAAAUUGUUUUAAAUUCUUACGGGCUUGAACAUUGUCUCAAAGUUAUCUAAUUCUUAAAUUCAUACUUUCUCAGCACCAAGCUUCCACAUUUUGAAACUUUCCAACACACAGGGAAGGCAUCCAUAAAUAUCAAGCAGUAGCAUCUAUAUAAUCCAACGAAUUUGAUUAGUUUAAAUACAUUUCGAGGAAAACCAUUUUUUGUAGAAAGUAGUCAAGAAUUGGUACAACAGGCCUUUAUUCACUAUCUAACCUUAGAAAAAUGAAAGAAGCAUCAGUAAGGGCUUCAAAUAUAAAAGAAGUAUAAGGCUUAAAAUAAUUAUAAGACCCUAAUUGUCAACAAAUAAGCAAAUCGAUCCCAUCGAAACUAAUGAAAAUCCCACAAAAGAAUCUUAGAAAAGAACAAAUCCAAUCAGGGAAAUAAAAAACAAAAAAACAGUAAACAAUGAGUAAAAGUAAAAGAUACACAAAGAGUAAUAUUUCUAGUAAUUGUAUAGAGGCAAAAAAAAAUUUUUAUCCAACAGAUGUCUUCCAAGCGGGUUAGAGACCAAUCAGAUUGACUGAAGAGAAUUCAGGAUCCUUGGUCAUACCAGGAUGCCUUCCUAUGGUCCACUCCCCCCUUUGCCUGCUUUGAUUAGGACUUUGCCCUGGGAAGAGCUCAUCGGGGAAGAACUAAAAAAAGCAAAUUUCAGUCGAAGUCAAUCGAAUUCGCUCCCACUCCUGGCUUCCAAGGUAUAGCCUGGACCUCUGCCUCGACAUUAUCAAUCAAAGAAAGAAUCUACUUCCGAGCGGGUUAGAGACCAAUCAGAUUGAGUUCACCCAAAGGUGAAAGAUAGUUAAACCUUCAGUACGUGUGCUAGGACUAAGUUGGAUUUGAUUUAUAUUAAACUUUAAUUAUAUGUACCAGAGUCUAAGCGGGUUUAAUUGAAAUUAACUGAAAUCUAACUAUGUGUAUUAGAGUCCAAUUAGAUUUGAGUUCACUCUAAGGUGAAAGAUGGCUAAGUAAUAAAUAUAUGUGUUAGUACAUAGUUGAAUUUGAUUUACAUUGAGCUCUGAAUAGAUGCAUCAAAGUCUAAUCUGCUUUCAUUGAACUAUAACUAUAAAUAUAUGUUUUAGAGUUCAGUAUGAUUUGGUUUGACUUGAGUUCCAUGAGAAGGCGCCACACAUAAUCUAUAUUCUGAUGGCAUUCAAGAGAUAGUCAUCAUAGUACGGGAAAAAAAUUAGAUGCAGUCAAAGUAAGCAAGUAAUAUUAGCAAAAUAACAAUGAAUCGCGAAGCAAUGCAGACCAUGAAAAGGCACCAAACAUAAUCUAAAUUCUCAGGGCAUUCAAGAGAUAGUCAGCAUAGCAUGGACAAAAAAUAGGCGCAGUCAACAACUCGAGAAAUAACAAUUCAAGAGGGAGUCAUCAUAGCAUGGACAAAAAUAGUCGAAGGGAAAGUGCCCGAGAAACGACAAAACAUUUAUAUAAACCAAUCAAGAAGGGUUGGGUCUCUAUCAAUUAUCGAAAGCUGAAACGUACUUGCACACAAAACUAUAUGAAAAUAAGUAAAUGCCUAUAUGAAAAUAUCACAUUAGUCAAGUAAAUUGUUAAGUAAAAUAUGUGACAUGAACACUGGGGAACAUGUAAAUGCCUAUAUGAAAAUAUCACAUUAGUCAAGUAAAUAGUCUCUUUGACAUAAGAAUAAUCUCCCCAAUGUGUUUUUAUAGUGCAAGAAAUCAAUUCUCCUAUACAUGGUUAAACUAUGCACCAAUAGAGGAUAAACCAUUAAUAUCAAAAAUAUAAUUUCGCAUCGUCAUCAUACAGAUACCUAUCUCAAUCUGAGCCUGUUUAGCUUGAUCGGAACAAAUUGAACUUGUCUAACAUACUCCCUUGGAGGAACAAAUCAGCUUAAUCAAUUAAAAACAAUGCCACAGAACAAAUCAUUAUGAAUAUGUCAGUUUAUUGAUGAUGUACAAAUUGAAAUAACUUGAUCAGAUUUACAUUAUCAUAAGUUGCAUUAUGAAUUUCAUUCCUAAUCAAUAGUUGCACUAUCAAAACUCACCUUGACCAAGCUUAAACUUUGACGGCGUCCCAUGAUUACGGGUUGAGUUGAACUUGGUCCCGUCAAUAAGUGUCCGAGUGUAAUGCACUGCAAAAUUAAUCAACACUCAAAAUCAGGCAAAACAAACACCAAUUGAUCAGACUAUUUUUGAUAUCUUCCAUCCAAAUCAAUUAGGAAUGCAACCUUUUUUCGGGAAAGGAAAAAGUUAAGAACAGUAGGAAAAAGAAACAGAAAGGAAUAAAGAAAAAAGGAAAAAAUUAAGCAGUCUUGACGAAAAGCCCAAAAAGGUCAGGCUCAGUUAAGUCGGCAAAAAAUGCUCAUAAGCACAGGAUAGUAAUAGGACCAAUAGAUUACCAUAGGAGGAACGUGUGUGGAACGACGAAGGAUAAGAACAAUAGGAAGCGGUUGCCUAUGAAUAGGCCGUCCAAACUUCUGCUUGUUCAAAGCCAUCAUUUUCCACGUUUUCCUCUACUUAUCAUCACUGCCUCAAAGAAGAGAUACAAAAUAGCAAGAAACAAAAAGGAAUGAAGGAAACCAAGUAGAAUUAGUAAAACAACAAUGUAUCGAAGCAGUCAAGUCCAUCCAAAGCUACCACAUUUAAUCCCAAACAAAGACAGGAAUAGCAUAUUUGAGUACAACCAAUUAUCUGUAAAACUGAGUCUAUCCAAAGCUACUACAUUUAAUCCCAAACAAAGAUACGAAUACCAAAUUUCAGUACAAAGAAACAUCUUUAAAACUGUUUUCUCACAAAUUAUUCAAUAACCAAUCAGAAAUAAAAUAUCAGAGGAUCAUAUUUGGCUACUAACUAAACAUGAAGUGACCCAAUGUCACACCUCGUGCAAGUAAAGAAUGUAAAAAAAGAGAACUGUUGGCAAAUUUUCAAUUGCCUUCCGACAUUCUAUGUCCCUAACUCUGUUACAAUACAAAUCUUCUUUAAAUUCCAUAGUCAUUUGACUUUGAGCUCUAUAGACUAUGCAUUUGAUUGAGUAUUGCUAUAAACUUUCUUGGUAGUUAGAAUACAAUUUCAAAGCCAAAGAUGCGCAAUUUGAAUCCAUUUGAUUGAGUAUUGCUAUAAACUGUCUUGGUAGUUAGAAUACAAUUUCAAAGUACUUGAAACAAAGUGUUGAUCAUCCUCAACAGAAAGAAUGAAUACACAAUUCAUUGGUUCUAAUAGGUUGAGCCAUAUAUUUCGAAGUACAAAAGCAACUUGAUACAUGGUUUAUGCUCGGUUUUGCUUCUAUGUUAUUAUAGGUACCAAGAGCUAAUGAAAGAAAGUUCAAAGCUUCCAUUGUUUAAACUGAACAAACUUAAUGCAUCAUUACCUGUACCUUCGAUACCAAGGAGCUCUGUAGUUCUUUUCAUUAUGGGUGCAAGUGAUGACUUCAUAGUCGCCAAGAAGGUCGGGCCCCUCUCAAUUAUCGCAAUCAUUUCACAUUCAAGGAAAGGUGCAUUGUAGUUUGGGAUAAAAACAGGUGGAAGCUCAAUUGUUGCAAUCAUGUAACAUUCAAGGUAAGGACUAUGAAGAAAAACAAAGAGCCGACAGCCAGCAAGAAGGCAUAGGGAACCUGCAGAAAUCGAAAACAGGGACUUGCGGAUUCCACGGCAUAUAAUUUUUUUGCUUCUAAAAUCAGGGCGAAGGAAAAGCAAAAGAAUAGAGUUUUUUCUAUAGAACACCUCAAAACAAUGAUGUAAAAUAACCAAGUCUUGAAAGGUUGCUAAAACAAAAAGGGAAAAAGAAAUCGAAUGCAGGUAAAAGCAAGUCGAAAACAAAGAGAUUUGACAAAUCAAAGCCAAAGAUGCAGUUUGGGGAAAUCCCAAUAGUUUAAAAAAACAUGAAACCAAUAUUUACAAAGAAGAGAAGAGUAAAGAGGAGCAGCAAACAUGGGUAUGUAUGGAAAUAAAUAAAUAAUUUUUGCUCAGACACCCCUAGUUAUCAAGCAUUAUCAGAUUGGCAGUAAAGCCUUCCUGAUUAAUAGUGCCGACCGAGCUAGAAACCAUGCGCACGCCGAAACCAUUCUUAGCACAAAUGAGAACAACUGGUUGCUUAAGAACUAAGCCAUCCAAAGUGCUCUCAUUACCAAUCAAGAAAGCGCAGGCCUUUCUCAAUUAUCGCGACUAUCUGAUAUUGGGAAGGUCAUCAUCGCACGGGAGGAAAACGGGGAAGACAAAGUCUCGGGGAAUAGAAGAGUCAAAUUCUUAUCACAUUCAGGUGAAAGCAAAGUAACCCACAACUGACAAAACAUUGCUAUAAACUACACAGGAUCGAACUAUAGUUCUUCCCCCCCUGUUUACUUUUGUCUGGACUUCUUUGGGACCCCAAAUCUGAAAUUGGAAAAGGCCCCUCCUCAAACCGUUGCACUUAACCAGCACAUCUAAUAUAUAUCUAUUUUUUUAUAAACCAUGCUGAAGGAAAGGAGAAAGGAGGAGCCUGCGGAUUCCAGGGCACUUUUUUUUCUCUUUUUUUUUUAAAAACCAUGCUGCAGGAAAGGGGAAAGGAAAGAGUUUUAUCUAGAGUUGCUAAUUUAUACCUCUAUUUACAUGAUCAGACAUAUAUAUAUGUAAAGGAAUAACAUUUACCACCAUCCCCAGCGCCGCACCCCACCUCUCCGAUGCCCGCGAAGCGCCCUGCAAUCGCCUCGGCAUUUCAUCGAACAGGGCGCGAGCGCUCGGGAGAGGGCGUGGGGGCCUGCGAGCUCCUCCGAUCGAUCGCGUGAUGGCGAGGGGGAGGAGGAGAAGAAGAUCCUUGCAGAUCGGAAAGAGAUAUGAGAGAGUUCGGCGUGGAUCUGCAGGACCUCCGCGCCCUGCGGGGCAACAGGAGAAGAAGGCGGAGAGAGGGGCGCGCGAGAAAAGGUAUGAUGAAGCGUAGAGAGAGAUCGAAGAGGCGGAGGAAGGAUCGAAGAGGCGGAUCGAAGAGGCGGAGGUUGUGGGGGAGGGUUCGAAGAGGCGGGGCAGGGAUCGAAGCGGCUGAGUCGGGGAAGGAUUGAAGCGACGGAUGUAUUGGAUGGGCCCCACCCACUAAUUAAUUAAUAAAAUAUUUUAAGAUGACAUGUAGGGACCACCAAAGUUGAAUUAGCCUAAUGUUGCCACGUGGACAAAAAAUUAGGGAGAUUAAUAGAGGUUAUAGAUGUCCCCAAUCAAUGGUCUAUGGUGCACCGGGUGUACCGAGUAGUUGAGUCGGACCCAUGUCAAUAAAAGAAGAAUACCCCACGCACUUUAGUAUAUAGUAAUAGAUAAUAGAUAAUAGAUUAAAUUAAAUUAUAAACUUUUUUUUAACAAAGUGAAGUUUAUAAAUAGUUUGGUUAAAAUAUUGCAAUUUUAGACAUAGGAGCAGCAUGAAAAUUAAAGAGCCUACCAAAAUUAUAACUGAAUAUUAAAUAAAAGGGGUAAUUGUUUAUAUAUUCCUGAAAAAUUUUCGACUUUUUUAUUUACUCCGCUUAGAAGGUUAAUAUUAAAAAUAUCCUUUCAACAUUCUAAGCUUUUUCAAAUUUACUUUUAGAGUUAGAUUCUAUUAGUGAACUGUUAGGAACAACCGAUAUUUUUGUAAAAUUAUUAUUUUGUCCUUUCAAAUAUCAUUUCUACCGUCACCAACUUUUCUUAUUUGUCAUUAAGUUAGAGGCAAAAAGAAGUAUUUUGACUUCUUCCUUUCAAAUAUAUUCUUCUACUAUCACCAACUUUUCUUAUUUACUGUUAAGUUAGGAAAAAAAAGAUAUUUUGACAUUGUUUUUAACUUUGAUAGAAAUUUAACUGAUAUUUGAUCCGAGAUGAUUUAACGGGUACUAACAACAAGAAUAUUUAAUAAAUAACAUUUAAUAAAUAACGGAGAAAUAUACUAAGGGUAUAUUUGAUACAAAAAAAAAAAGUAAAUCAAAUAUUUCAAAAGUAUUGAGGGGUACUAGACAAUUAUCUCUAAAUAAAAAAAAUCUAACGGCAUAUAUGAUUUCUUUUUUGAAAGAAUGCCAGAAAGAUUUUCAUUGAUCAGUAAACAAGCACAGAAUAACAAUAUGUCGGAUUGUUGAAGCUAAUCAUUAAUCUCAAAAGGUCGAACUGUUAAAAAGAUACAACCAAUUCACUUAAAAUGUACAAACACAGUGCCCAUGAGGCAGGAUGCUAGCCUCUUUUAAGCCAAGACAAUAAAAACAUUACAAACGGACUCAAAUUUUUGGUCAAGAUUCUACUUAAGAAGAGCAAGUGGUCCAGAAGUAAAUCAACCAAUGGACCGGACGAAAAAUGUCUGGUUUUCUCUCUAAGCCAGAUAUUCACAAAGUAAUCUGAUAGGAUAAUUAGAUGUUUUUGAAUUAAUGCUCCUUUUGUUUUCAAGACAUAUAUUUUAUAAUUUUUUUAGAAUAGUAAAAUAUAAAUACUAAAAGAUGCGGAAAAUAUUAAACGAGUCUAAAUCAACAGUAAAUAUUUGAUUUUCUUAUAUAAAUCAACAAUAAUAAAUAUUAUAUGAUGAUACCCUCGUCACACAGAGGCCUCCUAUACCUUAUCAAAUAAUUUAAUAGGUCCCUCCUUUAAGGGAAGUUACAAAUUACAUAACUGUAUUGUUUAAGUGUCUGUUAAAAAAAGAACAAAAAAAAAAGACAAAAGUUGAAAGGGUCUCAAACUCUCUGUACUUUUUUUUUUUUCAUUUUUAAAUAAUUUGGGACCGUAGCCCGGUCCGGAGCCCACUAAAUUGGCUUGGGCUAAGUUUGAGCUUAAAAUGGCCCGGACCAGUUCCACCCCUAACGAAGAUAAGGGCCUAUUUGGCCUAGAUUUUGAAAAAGUAAUUUUUAUAAAAUUGAUUCUGAUUUGGAGAAUUAUUUUUGGUUUAUAUCUAACAUAAUUGAUUAUUGAUUUGGCUAUUUUCAUCAGCGAAAAUAAUAUAGUAAAAGUAUGAAGACGUCCGUACUAAUAACAAUGAAAUAGUUAAGGCUACAAAACUUUGACUAAUAUUUUUGACCAAUUCCUGCUNCUAAAAAUAUCAAUUAUAACAAUUAAUAUAUAUUGAACUAUUAUAAAAAAUAUCAAUCACAACUCGCAACAAAAUUCAAAAAUUUUAAAUACAUACAUAUGGAAAGAUUUUAAAUACAUACAUUCGGGGCGGAUCAUGGCGAGGUGGAUAAAAAAUUUUUUCGUUUCCUGCCCCGAAUCCGUCACGGAUCAUAAAAAUUGCCUCGUUUUCUGCACCGAAUUCAAUUAUUUCCUUCCGUUUACUGCCCCAUUCGGGACGGAUCGAGACGGGAGCUCCACCACCCCGGAUCCAUUUGCAUCCCUAGUUGGGUUGCUCCACGACGUUACAUACAUUGCCCAAGAAAAGUAAAGGGCAGAAGAGUCUUUGUCUUUUUUCAUUUUCGGGAAAGCCCAACUCCCAAGGAAAGUAUAAGUGAUGUAAAAUGUCUCUAAAAGUCAUUUUCAAGUGAUUAAUUUCUAGAGAAACUCGCACACUUUUCUUUCAAUUUUAAAACUAAAUUUAAAAUUUUUAAAUCAAAAUUUAAUAUUUAAAUUUAAAUUUAAAAUUUAAUAGUUAAUAUUUAUUAUUCGGAAUUUAUAAUUUAAAUUUUGAAAUUUUAUUAUUUGAAAUUUAAUAUGAAAAUUUAAGAUCUAAAUUCAAAAGUCAAAAAUUCAAAACUGAAAUUAAAGAAUUUAAAUGUUGAAUUGAAAAAAUUUAAAAUUUGUAAUUUGAAAAUUAAGAUGUAUAAUUCUAAUCUUUUAAGUUUUAAAAUAUUAAAAUUUUUAAAUUUCAAAUUUUAAAAUUUGAAAUUUAACUUUUACUUUGAAUUUUAAGAUUUGACGUUUGAAAAUUAAAAUUUGAAACUCAAAAUUUGAGAUCCAAAUUUUAUAUUUUGAUUUUAAAAUUUGAAAUUUUAAAGGAAAUUUUCAAACCUUAAAAUUUAGAUAUAAAAUUUAAGAUUUAAAACUAAUAUUUGAAUAUAAAUUUAAAAUUUAAACCUUUANCAUGUUGGGAAUAAAAAUAGAAUAGACAAAUAGUAUACUUUAUAAGUGAUCAACUAGCCCCUUCCGCCUUUCCUGCUUGCCCUUGUUAAUGCCUUGCGACUUGCCUUGAAAAAGCUUAACAUGGAAAAAAAGCCCUAUCCUUUUACCCUGGAAAAAUACUCAAUCAAUGGUGUUACUAUUUCGUAGGUAUAGCCACUGGAAAGGGCACUGGGAUAAAGGGGAAAUAUGAUAUUGAGGGCUUCCUAGUUGUCUAUUGCUCCUGGAAUCUCACUAUUGGCUUGCCUGGACCCUCUUGGUUUGCUUGGAGAAGCACUAGAACUACAUGGGGUUACCAUAUGCCCUUUUUUCUUUUCAUGACUCGGAGCUAACAUAACACUUUAACUAGAUGGCACUCCAACUGACACUGCAACUCAAAGCUACGGGAGGGCAGAACCAAUGUAACUGGCUUAGGGGGCACUCGAACUCGAGAGAAGCUAAACGCUCGGCUGGAUCAUAUUGUCUCGUAUGGACUGCUCCUAUUGAGACUGCUACAAGAGAGAAUGGAACUACAUGUAAAGAAACUCCCACUGGCUCGUAAGCAUCGGGGACUGCGGGGAAUUAAACUACUGCUACAAGGAAUACUGGGCCUUAGUCCUUCUCUUCUUUUAAACCUAUUCACUCGUAUCCCUAUCCAAAACGACAUGGAAGCACUUAGAACUGGAAUAUAAGUAUGAGUAUGCUAUGGGGCUAUUGACUAAGGGAUCUUAGAUAGGCUAUUGAUUAUCCCGCUUUCAAACUGGUUGUCCUAAAGGACAGGAGGAACUCUUUAACAUAUUAAUUAGUCUGGGGUGUACACUGAAAUGCCUUAGCCAAAGUAAACCACUCCUUAUGUAUACGAACAUUGGCUUGCAACUGCCAUUCUUUCUCGAUCGAAGGCAGAAGCAAUUGAAAAGAGAGAAGCAAAUGAUGAACUGGCUGGAAAAGAGCUCCCAGAGUAGAACUCGAAAUGAAAGUGGGCCUUUAACUGGCACUCCCGCUGUAAUUGGCUGGCCAGGAAAGUUCACUCGCUUAUUUACUUACGUUCUUAUUGAAGAAAGGAAAUUAAGAAAUAGCUACUAUUGAUACUGUAGUGGGACUGAGACUUAAAACAAAUAUACCUAUUAAGAGGUGGAACUGCUAGGCCUAGUACUUCCUAUUGCUGGUAUUCCAGGUGAACUUAUUCAAUACUCUAUGGUAGAAAUAGGAGAAACAUAUUCUAUUACUUAAUAAAGGGGAGAAACAAUUAGCUAUGAACUCAUCUCCUACACUGGGUCUAUGGGAACUAGGACUGAAAUUAUAUGGAUGGCUUUCGAGCCUGGAAAAUAACUGGCUUUUUCACAAGAUUGGUGAAACUGCUUUUAUCACUGGCUUUCCUCUUCUACUGAUUUAUAUUUCCUCCCGCUUUCUUCUUUUACGGAUAUUUCCCUUAGCUUUUUACCUAACCAGCCUUCAUCGAUACGAUACCCUGGCUUGCUUCUUUGCCUGCCUUGACUGUCGAAAUUAGCUUCCCUUAUUGAGAGCUCCCCAGCAAUAGAAUAUGACGAUACUCAUGCUCUGCUUGAACACUUGCCUGAUGGCUUUCAAAAUAGUUAUGGAUUGAAAAAGGGUAAAGAAACUGAAACUCAAAAGCAAACAAAGGAUUAGCAAUGGCUGGAAUAGAACUCCCAGAGAGAAGGCCAAAAACUGGCGCUUGGCUGGAAGGAAUUAGAUUAUGACUGGCCUCACCCUAUUUAUUUAUUUAUUGGCUCAUCUGGAUCGGUAACCUCGGGAAACCCGGGAGAACUCUUAUUGGGAGAACUUCAAGUGUUUAACUCCAAGCCCGACAUAUAAAAGCUAUAUUCAAGCCCCAGCCCUGUUUACUCCUGCUCAUUUAAAAUAUUCCUUACUGCUUGCCUUGAGAGAAACUCCUGCUGAAAAGGGAAUGCUUUCAUUUACUUAUGAUCUUGCUGGAUUAAAAAAGACUCCAACAGGAACUGAAAUUGAUAUAUAUAUAUAUAUAUAUAUAUGCAUUAAACUGCAUCAAAAUUAGCGAUAGAGACAUUGAUUGAAACAAUUAAAUGUGCUAAGUUGCACGUGCUGAACUUUGCCAAUGAACCACGUUCUACGUUUUACCACCCACCACGAAAACGAAAAAAAUUUGGGCCUGGGCCUCAUGGGCCUCACUUGGAGCCAUGGCCCAUUCCAAGUAGAGCGGGUUGAGUCGUUCGUAGUUCGAAGUUCGAACUCGGUUUUUUAACAUAUACCCUAAAAUUUGUGUCCGCGCCCACCUCUUCUCCUCCCUGGCUCCUCCCGGAGUACAUCAAAACCCUAGCUUCGAUCCUGAUUGUUGAGAUUCCUCUAGGGUUUGGAACCCGAAAUUGGUGAUGGAAGAGGACGAAGGAGAGACCGUUUCUGUUUCGGAGGUCGCCCCAGCUUUGAUCGCCGUACAUCCUCUCGAGAAUUCCGUUGCUGUCGCCGUGGGAUCCGGGGUAAGGCGGAUUGAACUACUGAAUAAGAGAAGCAUUGGGAUUUCCUUGAUUAUAGGGUACUAUCUCAUUGCGGAAGCAGAAGGGAAUCCUUCGAAAGGCAAACCAACGAGGAAGCAUGAAAGGAUCAGAGAAAGAUGUCUUCCUCGGGAAGAAAGCGCGAGCUCUUCAAUCAGUGAGCAUACCUCAUGGGAAUGCAGGUCUUGUUGCAGCACGGGCGUAAAAAGACAUCAUUGAUAACAACUCACUCUCGUUAAGCUCUUACGGUUCAAGGAAGGGAGACCGUCAAGGACAAGGCCAGUGACAAGUCAGGGGCAGGAAAUUCUACUAUAAUACGAGAUCUGUCAAGAAAAAACGGCAACAUAAAUAGUUCAGUCUGUGCCAUCUUAAAGUACAAUGCCAAUAGAGUCAACGAAUCGGAUUGAAAUCAGUGUGAAGAAGAGGGACUAAUCAAGCACAGCAAAAUAGUAGUCAUGUCCACAAGGAAAGGAAUUAUUUUCACCCCCUAUCUAUAUUAUGGGUCUGUACUACUCUAGGAGGUACUAUUGGCAGAGGGGAAGCGCCACUUAGAGACUUUGAAUCUGAAGGAGGGCAGUCGGCCCUAAAGGUAAGAAGGUCUUUGUUUAAGUUCUAAAGUAAUGAUUCAAUCCCACACCUAUUGGAAUCCUCGUGUUGGACACGACGAACCACGCGGAAUAAAGGAAAGCGGGAACUGAACUGAGAACGUUUCGCUGUGAGUCUCCGAACAGCCCGACCCACAUCGCUUCUCUAGAUUAGUGUACUUCCUAAGGUUGGGCAUUUGGCUGAGCCUCUCUCCCUCACCAAUGUGAAUGAAAGGGCACCACAUACAUCUCGACUAGUUUAGUUCGUGCCUGCGGAGCGAACUAAAACCUAUUUUGAAUUCCGGACUCCGAAGUUAGGAUAUUUGGUUGCUUGCUUUGUACUCGACCCAUGUGGUUCGGCUUGUUGCGCCACCUCACUUAACCAAACAUAUCCGAGAAUCAGUUCUACCUGAUCUACACAGCACUUGCUGCUUCAUCCCCGGUUGCAUCUUACUCUGCUGGUCCACCUUCUAAACUGGUCUCCGCACCUGAGACACAUCCGUCUCCUGUUGCUUAUUCUUUUUCCUAUAUUGUGGUGGCUUAUUCGGCGAGUUGGAGCUCCUACUGUUCCCGCGCCAGCUUCAACUCUUGCUCCCGAUUCGGCUCGUGCAACCAGGUGCGGGGCGGCGAUCACUUCGAGAGCUGCACAAGGUAUAUUUUGCACUCUUUAUUUAAGAAUAUUGCCCCCCUAUGUAUGUAUGGCGGUGGAAUUACGAUAGGUAGAGUGCCUCUAUACGGGAAGGUAACCCGUAGAGUGCUGCUUUCUUUGUGGUAAAGCCACAUGAUUGUGAUUAUUAAAGAGUUAGGAUUGAACCUACGACCUCCAGUCUCCCUAAGUGGAGUAAAGCUCCCUUCGGCCUCGAAGAUCAUCUGGUUCCAACUCGAAUUUCUAUGUUAAUAGGUUUUGUACUUCUGCAUGUUGGGAAUAAAAAUAGAAUAGACAAAUAGUAUACUUUAUAAGUGAUCAACUAGCCCCUUCCGCCUUUCCUGCUUGCCCUUGUUAAUGCCUUGCGACUUGCCUUGAAAAAGCUUAACAUGGAAAAAAAGCCCUAUCCUUUUACCCUGGAAAAAUACUCAAUCAAUGGUGUUACUAUUUCGUAGGUAUAGCCACUGGAAAGGGCACUGGGAUAAAGGGGAAAUAUGAUAUUGAGGGCUUCCUAGUUGUCUAUUGCUCCUGGAAUCUCACUAUUGGCUUGCCUGGACCCUCUUGGUUUGCUUGGAGAAGCACUAGAACUACAUGGGGUUACCAUAUGCCCUUUUUUCUUUUCAUGACUCGGAGCUAACAUAACACUUUAACUAGAUGGCACUCCAACUGACACUGCAACUCAAAGCUACGGGAGGGCAGAACCAAUGUAACUGGCUUAGGGGGCACUCGAACUCGAGAGAAGCUAAACGCUCGGCUGGAUCAUAUUGUCUCGUAUGGACUGCUCCUAUUGAGACUGCUACAAGAGAGAAUGGAACUACAUGUAAAGAAACUCCCACUGGCUCGUAAGCAUCGGGGACUGCGGGGAAUUAAACUACUGCUACAAGGAAUACUGGGCCUUAGUCCUUCUCUUCUUUUAAACCUAUUCACUCGUAUCCCUAUCCAAAACGACAUGGAAGCACUUAGAACUGGAAUAUAAGUAUGAGUAUGCUAUGGGGCUAUUGACUAAGGGAUCUUAGAUAGGCUAUUGAUUAUCCCGCUUUCAAACUGGUUGUCCUAAAGGACAGGAGGAACUCUUUAACAUAUUAAUUAGUCUGGGGUGUACACUGAAAUGCCUUAGCCAAAGUAAACCACUCCUUAUGUAUACGAACAUUGGCUUGCAACUGCCAUUCUUUCUCGAUCGAAGGCAGAAGCAAUUGAAAAGAGAGAAGCAAAUGAUGAACUGGCUGGAAAAGAGCUCCCAGAGUAGAACUCGAAAUGAAAGUGGGCCUUUAACUGGCACUCCCGCUGUAAUUGGCUGGCCAGGAAAGUUCACUCGCUUAUUUACUUACGUUCUUAUUGAAGAAAGGAAAUUAAGAAAUAGCUACUAUUGAUACUGUAGUGGGACUGAGACUUAAAACAAAUAUACCUAUUAAGAGGUGGAACUGCUAGGCCUAGUACUUCCUAUUGCUGGUAUUCCAGGUGAACUUAUUCAAUACUCUAUGGUAGAAAUAGGAGAAACAUAUUCUAUUACUUAAUAAAGGGGAGAAACAAUUAGCUAUGAACUCAUCUCCUACACUGGGUCUAUGGGAACUAGGACUGAAAUUAUAUGGAUGGCUUUCGAGCCUGGAAAAUAACUGGCUUUUUCACAAGAUUGGUGAAACUGCUUUUAUCACUGGCUUUCCUCUUCUACUGAUUUAUAUUUCCUCCCGCUUUCUUCUUUUACGGAUAUUUCCCUUAGCUUUUUACCUAACCAGCCUUCAUCGAUACGAUACCCUGGCUUGCUUCUUUGCCUGCCUUGACUGUCGAAAUUAGCUUCCCUUAUUGAGAGCUCCCCAGCAAUAGAAUAUGACGAUACUCAUGCUCUGCUUGAACACUUGCCUGAUGGCUUUCAAAAUAGUUAUGGAUUGAAAAAGGGUAAAGAAACUGAAACUCAAAAGCAAACAAAGGAUUAGCAAUGGCUGGAAUAGAACUCCCAGAGAGAAGGCCAAAAACUGGCGCUUGGCUGGAAGGAAUUAGAUUAUGACUGGCCUCACCCUAUUUAUUUAUUUAUUGGCUCAUCUGGAUCGGUAACCUCGGGAAACCCGGGAGAACUCUUAUUGGGAGAACUUCAAGUGUUUAACUCCAAGCCCGACAUAUAAAAGCUAUAUUCAAGCCCCAGCCCUGUUUACUCCUGCUCAUUUAAAAUAUUCCUUACUGCUUGCCUUGAGAGAAACUCCUGCUGAAAAGGGAAUGCUUUCAUUUACUUAUGAUCUUGCUGGAUUAAAAAAGACUCCAACAGGAACUGAAAUUGGAUAGCUGGGAAUGGAAUAAUUAAUUAUGUAAAAAUACAUCUCUCACUUGCUUGUGUACUGGCACUCUCUGGAAAGGCUAUAAACUGACCCUGGGUCGGACUGGGACUUUCUCGCAGGAAAGGCAGAAUGAAACCAUUACGAAGGGAAAGAAAGAGAUACUUCUGUUGGCUUACUGGCUGGAAUGGUAAAGGACUAGUACUAGAAAUCGAUUACCCAGGCUGUAAAGGGCACUGACUCCCCAUAGCUUUCAGGAAAUUAAGGAACAGAGUGACGACCUUUAUAAUAUUAUUUAUAAAUAAAAAGAAUAAGGUAAGCAAAGAGAGGAAAUUCAAGUUCAAGAGACGGAUAGACUUACUCACUGGAAGGAUUGCCUAUACCCUUGCUUCACUAGAUAGGUGCUUUCCACUUACAGAAGAGGUGGAACAAGAUCAGGAUUUUUAAGAACUCCCACAGGAACUGGCUCUAAAGGAGAAGGAAUGGCACUAGGGGGAAGGGCUCGCAAAGCCUUAAGACUGAAAUUCAACCCCCCGAGAAGGCAGAACCAAGGAAACGGCCUGCAGGGGAAUCAGGACAGGUAAGGGAAGAAAGCAAGGCAAGGGAAAUCCCAACGGCUGGAAAGCAACUCGAUUAAAGGACAGGGACUACUGAUACAAUCCCAAAAGGAGGAGAUGCCCUUAGGAAUCCAACUCUCACUCCAACAGAUAAUUCAUCUUACUUAAAGGUUUCUUGCCUGCCCACAUCGAAAGAAAGUCCAACUGAGACUAUAUCUCAAACCCCUCCAAUGGUAACAGACUCGGGGACUACUAUUGCAAUAACAGGGACUGCUGGAAAGGAAAUAGGAUAUGCUGCAACACUGGGCUUGUUCAGGUAAUAUGCUAGUAAAAGAAUAGUGCAGAUAAUAGGUGUACAAGGCUAAUAUGCUAAUUAUUAACGAGUUGUUAUGUUAUACUAAAAUAAUCAAACUGAAAAGAGUUAUUAUGCUCACAUCACAGGGCCGGGCUCAGAGAACUCUGAAGUAGGCUCGAGAGCAAGAAAAGCAACUCCAACAGUAAAAGGUACUCCAAUUGACACUGAAACUGGGCAAACUCCCAAGAAGGGAGAAGGGCUAAUUCUAAGGCUGUCUCAUACUCUAUGUAACUAGGACUGGCACUAUGAACUCCUGCUUUAUAAUGACUUACUUGAUUACUUAGCCUAAGAGAGAGUUAAAAGUAAAGAAACUUAAACUGGAACUCACUCAAAACGAGCAGAAGGGCGAAGGACAGCAAUUGUAAAGAAUAAAGAAUCAAAGGCAGAAGGAAGGACAGAAAGGACAGGGACAAGGAAAACAAUUUAGGAAUACCUAUAGAUUUCCUCCGUAAAUAAAACUGUUUGCUCAGUUGACUAUCCAACUUUUUAAAACAAUCUGAACUUUGCUUUCUAACUAGCUUGCUCAUCAUAUAAUGUUGUCUCCCGGACACUGGCUCGCAUAGACCUAUAUCUAAGGGAACUAGCAAUAGCUGUAGGGGCUUAUCCUGAUCCUGAGACUGCUACUAUUUCUACUGCUACAAGAGAGAAUGUUUCAAUGGCAAUGGCCAGAGAAGCGGUACUUUGAAAAUCAAAAGGGCAAUUAGUACGGCUGACACGAUAGACUAAGAGACUACUUGCUCUCCCGCUGGGAGACAGGCAGAAGCACAUGAUGAUGCCCUUUUUUUCUUCUUCUUCAACUAGAUAGCUGGCAAUUGCCACUGAAACAGCAUCAAUGGUUGGAAGAAUAAAAGCAAUUGGAUAGUACCUUUUUUGCAAUUUCCUAGUAGGUUACAGGCCUGGAAAUAGACUGCAAAAAAGAGACGACUAAUGUACUCGCUUGCGCAUUUUCUUAACUCAUAUAAUUUCAUAAUUUAACUCAUAUAAUAAUGCUUAAUAACGAGCUUGCUUAUUCGCUUUUGCUCACAAAAGAACUGGCUUGCCAAAAGAAAAAGAAGAUUACUUAUCUCAAGGCCCUAGAAUCUGAGAACCUGAAAGAUAACUUGUUUGCUUUUUUUCCCUUUACCUGUGUGUGUCUGCUCACAACCGAAAUGAAUAGAAAACUCGCUGGAAGUGCCUUAAAGCCCAACUUCCCUUGCUUAUGGGACUGUAACCCACCAGUAGUAUAAGUAUAUACUACUACUACUUUAUAUGUAUAUAUCUUAUUAGUACAUUAAUAACCUAAUAACCAUAUAUUAAUAUAUGAACUCAUUAUUGGAUACUAACUAUUAAACUAUUAUUAUAUAAUUAAUUAAUAUAUAUUAAUAUAUAUAUAUAUUAAUUAAUAUAUAAGAACUCAAACUCGUCUGCCAAGGAACGAAGUAGCUCGACUUACAAGAGGCCUUACCAUUUUUCUGCGAUUAGGUGGGCUCAUCUUAAGACUGGAUCUCCCAACGGCUAGCCUAAUAUGUGAGGUGAGGUACUUCAACUGGCAGGUCGAAGGGAUAAAAAAACAAACAAAAAAGGGGCCCUAAAACCUACUUUCGUACUGGAUGGGAAUCUAUGCCUAAGCGCUUGCUCACACUCUUUCUCAAGAAAACUAGCUCGCUGACUUUAGGAGAUAUGUUUACACGCAGGUAACACGCUACAGGAAGUAUGGCAGUAGCAGGGAAUAGUAAAGAAUAACUUUAGUUAUUCUAAAUCCACUCACUUAGAGGUUUCCCUUAUGUCCACAGCACUUUCCUCAAAUACGAAGAAGAUACCCUUUUAUAGAAGUCCUGCAACCCUAUAGUUAUAGUUGCACAAAGAAAGCAAAGCCUAUGAUAAGAGUGCUGCAAAGCGACCAGAAGGAAAAUGCCUUACAGUAGGACUAUAACUCCUAGGUAAAUAAAUCUAAUUAGGCCUACCAUAGAAAGAAAUGUACCUUCCCUGGAAAAAGAAUAUUUACUUAAAUAUUUAUAUAUAAGUAAAGGGCUUAGAUUAGGAUAGGACUUGAAGCGAGUAAGAAUUACACUAGAUAUAGAUAGCCUGGAACUAGAUCUCACACUGGAGAAAGAUAACUCCUAAUGGCACUGGCUCGCUCGAUACAGUCUGGGAAAUCCACUAGGCUCGUGGAAGGUGGGACUAUAAGGGAAUAGGAGUUAAUAAUAGAAAUACUCCCCCGGGCGUUAAACUGUGAUGUAAAAUGCUGUACUUGCCUGCAAGGGAUGAAAUAAGAUAAGGCAUUGUGAUAGCGCGUCGUUUAGGGCUCAUGACUGACCUUACACUGCCUGGAAUGCCUUUGGAAGGGACGGGAGAACCAAGAAAACCGCAUGAAAGGGACCUGACUCUAACUCUCAUGGAUCCCCAAAAAAAAAGUAACUGGAGAACUGCAUCUAAUAUUUUUCCCACUGGAUUUGCACUCCCUAUGAUAUUAGAGUAGUCCUACAUAUAUGGAAAGAAAAUAUAUUCUACAAGAAGCUUACUCCAGCGAUUACAAAAGAGGCUUACUUCAGGUCUUACCCUGACCCCGGCUGGCUUAAAAACUCCAACAGGCUCGGAUCGAAGGCAUAAAGAAUUGAGCGUAAUGUAACAGCCCUCCCAGGGAGAACCAAGGGAACUGCCUUCAAGAGGUAAUGGAGAACCUACUGCAAUUUCCACUCCAACUUAAACUAAACCCCAAAGAAAGAAGAUUAGCCCCUUUCCCCCCCUGAUGGCAGGUCUGGAGAGCUCACUUCGAUGGCAGAUAAAAUUGGACUAGAUGAAAAAUCCAAAUUAACACUUAAAGUAGAUCGAUCCGAACUGGUACUGGUCGAAAUGUAAGAGAACGGAAUUUCACUCCCAGCGAUAACUCCAAAUGGUUCGAAAGCGGAAGUAAAGGCAAGUUUUAAAGCAGUCCUUCAAAAGGAAGAUAGUUAGAAAGCUAGCUUAGAAAAAUUCCUUAGAACUAGGGGGAUAGGCAGAAAGUAAGGGAAAGAGCUAUUAAGAAUAUGUUCAUUAUUCCCCGCCCUCAAAUAGCAAUCCUAAUAAAAAAAAAAAAGUCUAUCCGCAGUGAAAGCUAAAAAGUCAAGCCAGUAUCUUUACUUCUUUCUUCUUUGGAAAGCUUUCAGGCAAGGUAAAUCCAUGAUCCAGUGAUAAAGCCUGAGUAUCAGUAGUUUAUAUAACCCCGUAGAAGAAAGCUUAGUGCUAUGCCCUCUAUUUACAUUAGAGGGGGGUACUCUCUUGGUUAUCUUUCUGUUGCCCUGCCAGUGAGGAGGGAGGAAUCUAGUUCCAUUGCGAGUUCCAGCGAGCCAGUACCUGUCCCCGGGGGUCAUAUUUAUAGAGAGUAGAAGUCCCCCAGUGUAUUGCGCUUACAAAGUUAUUUUCCUUCCUUCCCUGAUAUAAGCAGUUACAUCAGUGCCCUCCCUACCUACGCAGGUCGUCACUGAGUCAGGAGAGACUGUCCAAAAAAGAAUUUCACUAGUGUAAGAGAGUGAUCAAGGCGGGAAGUAUCAUUUCCCAAGAAAAGAAGUAAGUCAGGAAAAAGGGCGGAGUAUGGCUUUCGAGGACUACUGUAAUAUGCGUUCUUUGCAGGAUUACUAGAAUGGGCUUCUAGAGAACUACUCUAACCUUCUUUUUUUUCUUCGGGCCAGUUAUUGAGCAGUUUGAUUUCUCAAGGCAAUGAGCAAGUGGAUUGAAUCCAGUAGUUUACUAAGUGUAAGUGGUGCUUGCCGAUCCAUAAGCAGGCCUAAGGAGUGCCAUAUUAUCCAGUUCCAUUGGUUCUGACUUCCGAUCGCUUUGAGUUUGAGUUUUUUUAGAUGGCGGUCCAGGCGCAAUAGAAAGCUAGCCUCUUUUACAGAAGUGUCAAUUUUUUCUUCGAAAAAUUCUUCAGUGACUGCCUAGUGCCCUUUCCAGUAGAAAAUAUUUCUUGCGAAUAUUUCUGAUAUCUAAAGGUGUAACCAUCUCUUCACUCUUUUGAAGGUUUAACUGCUUUGUGCGCCUUCAAAUCAUAUGAUCAAGCCAGCUCCAGAAUUUUCUUUAUCCUGUAAGGAUAAGAUAAUGGAUAAUAGUCCCCGGUGGGUUAUCCGGUGAAUUUAUUGCUGUCUCUUGUAGGGCUCAUUCUUUACCUGGUAGGGUAUAGGUUCGUUCUAGAUAAGAGAGACUUUUCUUUCCCUAUAUCCUUUGUAGGAUUACUCCAAUGGGCUUUCUUCAUGAAUAUUGCUCUUCUUUCUUUUUUCCUACCUUCGAGAAGGAGAUAACUCGUAUACUAUCCGUUUAUCUCCCUUUUCUAAGGAAGUGCAAAAAAUUGCAUUUCAAUUCCUUCUGGAAAAAAGAAUCUCCUUCGCUUCCCCCCGACGAUUCACUGCUUUAAUGAGGGCCUUCUCUGUGCAUUCAUGUGCAGCAGAUUUUGACACCUAUGAGUGCACAAGCCCUUCUUCUGCCUUUUUACUCUCUCUUCCCCUUUAGGGAAUUGCGGAGUGAAUGAGUGCAACAAAACAAGGAUAGAAGGCUAUAAGCUGCCUACAUGGAAUUCCUCUUCAUGCACACCUCCCAUAAAUAAUUUUUAUAUGGCGAUGAUAAUCAGAUGCUAAGUCUCCCUGGCUUCCUUCCUCCAGCAGAUCUGUGGGCAUUAAAAGAAGAAAGACUUUAAGGCAUAUUCCUUCCUCGCCACAUUCAAGCUUAGGAAAGAAAGGCUCCCGUUCGUGCCCUGUAAGAAGGAAAGUAAGAAAGGAAGGCAUAGUCGAAAAGACUAGCAGCUUCUCUGUGCAUGGAUAUCUAAACUAUUGGAUUAGCGGCAUUGGAUUAGUGGCAUUCUAGUUCUAAAAUACUUUAGCGAAGCGGGAAAGCUGGAAAACAAUCAGGUAAUCAGGAAAGGCAAUCAAGCAUGCGGCCUAAGGACUGGUGCUUUACUAUAAAGAACUCUUAAGGCGACAACAGCUUCUUCUAUUCCUCGUUGGCCUGCAGAAGUCUUAGGGACAUCUAUUAGCGGUUGGCAUUCCCCUAUGCUCGGCUCUUAUUCCUAUAUCUUAAUAUGUCCAUUCAAUCGGAAUGGAUAGAGGAAGGAGUCUGUUGUGCUUUGGCUGUGCCUUAUCUUAGGGCAUCAAUCCAAUUCUGGGCAUCCAUAUAAGACCGCUUAUUCCCUUGCAAAGACAAAGACCGGAUUUGUCUCACCCUCCUCUUCUGGGGAUCUUACCCCUAAGCCGAAGCGCUGGACUGCACUCGAUAAUGCUUCUUCUUCUGUUAGGAAUUCCUAUACUGCUUGUUCAUGUGAACCUACCGAUUCUAAUGGUUUUUGCCUACCCGGCAGGUAAUAGGGAGAAGGACUUCGACUGAGACUCAAGAAACAUCAAGUGCGCUUUCGUCCCCAGAAAGGGAUGCCCCAACUAUUGUAUUCUUUUCUUUCUAUGUGAUUUUAGUUUUCAUUUCUCGUUGGACGAUUCAAAACUCUUUGCUUAGCUAAAAGAUGUUCAACACUAUUGCAUCCAAGGUCAUUCGCUGCUUGGGCCAGCGUUUCCAACUCUCGAAUGAAUACCACAUACCGGGAGCCCCAUCUUGACCUGCGGCUAGCAUCUCAAGGUCCAUGCACAUCCGAGGAGAAGCCAGAUCAAGAUCCUUUUUCAAUUCGUUUGUCGGCAACCCCACUUGCCCAACGAUUCUUAAUAUUGUGAACUCCUAACUCCUAGUACGCCCGCCAUAGCAUCUUGGCAAGAAAAAUUGCACUGUCGAAGUGUCCAUCGCAGGUUCUAACAUCCGAAGCCAGAGUCGUUGCUGAGCUAGAAGCCACAUCCAUAUUCACGUCUUAGCCCUAUAAAGUCAGGGGACCGAUUCCAGAUCCGAAGCAGCAGCAGCCACCGAAGAAGGAGCAGUUUGAAGCAGUAGGAUAUGUUUUGUCUUUCCAUUAUGUACUUCGGGAGCUAGGAGUGGAGAGGAAUCCCAGUAGUGGAACCUAAUCAAUUGACAUCGGGGAUGGAAAAGAACCCGACUCUUCACUCUUAUCAGAUUCUCCUUUCCUUUUCCUUUUUUAGUUCAAACUCGCUGAAGAGCUCUUAAUAUGCUAAUAAUAUGCUAUGCAUAGUAGGUUGAUGGACAGAGACAGAGGUCGACUUGAAUCAUAUGCCUGCUCGUUGCGGAACUCUUUCUUGAUUUCGAUCUAGAAUAGGACAACCACUAGGAUUGAUACUCUUAAGAAAGGGAUGGUUGGGAGGGAUCGAAUUUGUAGGAUGAAAGGCCUACGCGUCUUGGGAUAUUCGUGCGGAUCCAAUGUUGUUAGACGUGGCUCCAAGAGGGACACCGGAGAGUUAUAAAUAUUCUUGUACUUUCCUUUCGUCCGGUCUGCCACUUAUUUGAUUGGUCCUUCAUUCAAGGGGUCCGCUUGAAACAAGUUUUCGCUUGGCCAGCAAGAAAACGGCUGCGCGUUAGCGCAACGGUGGUCAUAGAUCAGCUAGGCGCCCCCUAUAUCUUAAGGGCCUGUUCUCUCUUCAUUCUUUCUUGUGAUCUCCCUUUCUGUUGAUCCAGGAAAGGUUCAAUCAAGGAAGGUGGCAAGCCCUAUGAGGAUGGCUCUAAUAUCCAGAAAUGCUGCUCAAAAGAAGAGUUCCAAACCUCUGAAAGGCGAGAGGCGGAUUCAGAAGAGAAAUGUGAAGAAGAAGGCCAUCUUUACCUUUACCCUUAAAGAAAAUAUGACUUGUUCAUCGUUCAGACUGAUUUUCUUCCUUAGAGUAGAGGGCGUAGUAAAUAGUCACGAUAAGAUGCCAGUCCCUAUUGCUUUUGCUUCGCUUGUGCCGGAUCUGGUAUCUAUUCCUUAUAGCCUAGCCUUCCGACCGACAAGAGCGUGAAUUCAAUGAGGAAUUGAUUGAACUGAUAGCUAUCUGGCCUACCGCGAACGAGUGACUCUCCCCUCUUCGCUGAUCUUUCACCUGCCAUAAAAAAGAAUUGAAUCAGGAAGUGACUUCGCUAGCCCAAGGCUAUAAAUAAGUUAAACAAGAAAAAUGAAAGCUUCUUCAAGAAGUGCUGGAAACGAGCUCAUUUUUUUUAGUUCCAUAUUGGAUUCUAUUUCCUUGCCGAUGUGAUGAUAUUUUUUUUUGUAUAUAUUAUACUCUUUACUUUCAAUGGCAUCUCUAGUUGAACUGAUAGCUAUCUUGCCUCAGCUCAGUUGUUGAAGUUUGAAAAGAGCUACUCCUCUUCCGUUCCGGGGAUCUACGACUCGAUCUCUCUUUCACUCCUUAUGGCAUAUGGUUCAUUUUCAUUUAUCUUACAUCGUCAAAAUCGAAGAGUCAUUCUGAGGAAUGGAAUCAAAGCUUCUGCUUCUCAACCUCCCAAGGGGAAGUAAGGAAGUAUGAGCCUUUUUUCUUUUUCUUCUGAAUCGCCCUGAGCUGAGCUCAAUACUCAAUAGCUAAAUCAAUUCCCUUUCGUCCGGUCGGGGCAUUGACCCCAUGGCCAUGGCUAUUGCGCUUGUGCCGAAAAUGGCAUCGCUGACUCAUGAAAAUGCAACCAAACAAGAUUCUUAUUCUUAACACAUCCAAUUGGAUGUGGGAUGUCCCUAAUUCAACUCACUCUAUUUCUUCUCGCGCGUAUACUGAUUCUUGUUCAGAGCUUAGCCGCACUGAUGAAGUCGAAUGCUCCUUUCGGUUCUUUCACUCUCAAAUCCAUUUUACCCUUGGCCUGUCUCUCGGUCUUUCUCGCCUUUUGCCUGCUAUUUCCUAAUCAAGAAUGGAAUCUGGUCCGGUAAGUUCGUUCGCUACCUUUACUUGACUUGACAGAAUACCGAGAGUGAGGAAAGAGCUUGAGAGCAGACUCAGUAAUAAGUAAGUAAUUUCCCUAUGGGAUUGGAACUACUUCGUAUCUCUUUCCCUUUACCUUCCUUCUUUGCUUCGACCUAGCAGAGUGGAUUCCCUCACUUGCACUUUCUCUCGUCUGAGUUCACUCUGCCUUCUUUCUGGACUCUCGUUCUUAUCGAAGAGUCAGAUCGGUACCUUGAAACGUAAUGGUAGGCCUUGCCCUUUGCUUACUCUAUUGAAUAGAAUGGUAUGCCUAUUCCUAAAAAAAAGACGAGAACGCCCAUCUCUUCAGAAAGAAAGCCCCAUAGUGCCCGUACUCUAGCGCAUAAAAAGUCCUUUCCAUCUACUUUAGUAGUUCAUCUGGCAAAACAAUAUUCUGAUCACUCUCCUAUCUUUCUAUGAUGCUGCUUUUGCAGGCCCGAAGCCUUUUCGUUUUAGCUUUUUUAAAAAAAGCUAAAACAAAAGAUAAUUUCGUUUUCAGCACAUGUGGGUGAGGCACCCAUCUUUUCUUCCAUUAGUGGCCUCUAGUUGGGGUGUGCCUUUGCGUGCUCCUCCUCUUGCUCGUUUGGCUUUUCAACUCAUAAGGCUGAAAAUGACUCUCAAGACUUGGAAUGACAACACCUUUGGCAAUGUGCACUCCAAUCUUUCUCUAGCAGAAAAAGAGGUGGUUCAUCUAGAGCAGCUUUAGACAGCAUCUCCAACGGAGGAGAAUCUGUCCUUACUUGAGCGGGCUAAAGAGAAGCUGGGGGAAGUCUGAUUCAAGGAGGAAAGAUUUUGGCGGCAACAAUCUGGUGUGAAGUGGCUCAAGGAAGGGGAUCGCAAUACUCAGUUUUUCCAUGCAGUGGCUCAAAAGAAUAGGAAACGUCUUUCCAUAAAGUCAAGUCAAUUACUAAUGAUGAUGGUCUUCUUCGUACCUCUUUGAAGGAUAUCCACCAAUAUGCUAUUUCCUAUUAUCUAUUAAGAGUCUCUAUUCCAAUCUGAGGGUUUUACCCUCAAUGAGGAGCUCUUCUCUUUGAUUCCACAAUCCAAAACUUCGGAGCAUAAUGAUUGAUUGAUGAGCCCACCCUCUGAGGAGGAAAUCCGUUCUAAAGUGUUCUCUAUGUCCAGUGAUAGUGCUCCUGGACUAUAUGGCUUUCCAGGUUUCUUCUUUACCACAUGCUGGUCCAUCGUAGGAGAAGAGAUUCUUGCAGCUAUACUUUACUUUUUUGCUGGCAGCACCCUUCCAUGAUCUUAUACUUCUUCUUUUUUUUAUGAUACCUAAGAAGGAGCAGCCACACACACUAUCUUACUUCCGUAAGAUCAGUCUUUGCAACUGAAUAUAAAAGAUUCUAGCUCGCAUCUUCUCUGACAGGUUGGGCACUCUUCUUCCUCAGAUCAUCUCUCCCCUUUUUCAAAGGUCGAAGCAUCAUUGAGAAUGUAGGACUAGCGCAGGAAAUGUUUCAUGACCUCUCAAGAAGAGUUCGUGGGGGUAAUGUCAUCAUCCAACUGGACAUGGCAAAGGCAUACGACAGGUUGGAAUGGGUUGGUUAGCCUGAGAGACCACAUUCACUUGUUCAGAGACCGUGACUCCCUCAGUAGUGAGCCGGCUGGGUGGUCUUCUUGGAGUAUUUUGUUCUGGAUUCAGUCUCUUUGUGUAUUCUCUGAAGGUUCACAGCCUUAGUGUAUAAGUGGUCUAUGGAAUGGCAAUCACUAAUGGCUAAUUCUCUCCUAAUAGGGCCUGUGGCGUUGUUGAUUAGGAUCUGGAUCUCUUGGGCCUCGGUGAGUCGGACAUCGGACCUUGCGGCCAUGGCUCUCCACCUAAGGGCAUAUUCUAUGAAGUCCUCACUAGGUUUCAUCUUUUCGGCCAUGAGGUCGACUAUGGUGGGGACGUAGAGCCUCCUAUGGCUAAAGUGAGCUAGAAAUUUCUGGCACACUAUUGGAAACGAUCGGAGGUCUUCUACAUUGAGGGUGGUGAACCACCUCAGAGCUUCUCCCUCCAAUGACUUCUUGAAGAGAUAGACCAAUAACGAUUCGUCGUGAAGGUAGAGAAUGUACCCGCCGGAGGAGAGGAGAAUCUAACGGUCUUCUACUUUCUUAUUGCAAUUUGUUUCCUCCGGGGGAUGUGUUCUUCACUGGGGGUGGAAUGAGCUGAUACCCCUUCCUCUGUAGUGGGAAUGACUGAAAAGUGAUCUUGAUGAUCCCGAGCUGUCUCUGUCUCUGGGAUCGGUGUGGCAAAAGCUUCUACAGAAGAAAGAAGAAUAUGAGUAAAAUAACAAGUAAUAACUACCUAAUGGUAAUGGUAGAAAAAGGCAAAAUCAAGGAAAUCUCAAUACCUGGUUCAGAAGGGGUGACUUCCCCUUCUUCUUCCUGGACCCGAGUUUCCUUAAAUGAGAACUCGGAGAUUGGCGGUAAUGGUGUCUGAGGCACUGAUGCGGUUUCUGCUUCCAGUUUGGCCUUUUUGUCUCGAGCCGCCUUGGCUACAGUUUGAACUCCGCUCACAACUGGCGGAUGAUCCUUUCUAGCCCGCUUCUGGGGCGCAUCCUCGUCAAACACUUCCUGAGAUAUAGAAAUGGCUUUCACCAGAUCGAGCAGUUUCUCAUAUGUUUCAUCUGUCACUGCACGACGAAAUGAGUCUGUCAGCCUUCAUGACAAGGAAUCAGAGAUAAGCUACAAAGAUAGAAGUUGUACAUCAAGAAGAAUGAAGAGCACUCAAAAUUUUGUCCUUUAUAACUGAUGGGGACCGGCGGAUACUCUAAGGGAUUCACCUUAUCCCUAAUAGCAGCAGACUGAAUGACAUAAACAACAUCAUUGAUUGUUUCGGCACGAUCAACAAGCUUGGAUAAAUCAUAAUGAUGUCUGUCUUGAAGAUGGCAACAGAUGUGAUACGCAUCCAUACCCCAGCCGUCUGCAUAAUGGAAUGAUAAAGGGACUCGGGCCUGCAUCAUCUCUUCAAAGCUGGGAAGUUGCAGUUUCUGAUUCAAAUUUGCAGCCAUCUCAUUGGCUUGGCCGCAAAGGCCUUACGCCUAGAAGCACUGGCCCCUCCGAUCCCGAUUCGAUUGGCCUAUUCAUCACAUCAGCGAAAAGAUAGAUCUGGUUCGGAAGUCCAUAUCAGCUAAUGAACGAAGUCCUGUAGUUGAUGGGUGCAGAUCAAGUUUGACGACGAUGUAUUCGAAUGAUGUUAUGUCAUUGGAUGUAUGUUGGUGCAUCAAGUAGGGUGGACAUGUCAGCGCGGAUGCUACUGCAAGGAAUCAUUGUUUGGCAGGUCUAUGGUGCCGACGUUCUUUUAGGCGGAUGUCAAAGAAUUCGUGCGUUCCAGUGAUGCAUGUCAACGAACUGGCAAAGCAAGGAUAUCGAACCCUGAAAGGAGUUGCGGCUGAGCAGGCAAAGAACUCUUUGAUUUGAGUCAAUGAAUGCCUAAAUACUGGGAGAUUAGCAAGUCCAGUCUUACCUUUUCGAUUUCCUCUAUUUGCGCUUGUCUUUCCGGCCUCACUUGAUCGGGCUGUAUUUCCUGACCUGACUGACCUCUCGGGUUACCACUGGACUGUGAGGGCUGCUUACAGCUCAAAACCAAAGAGGAAUCCUUUGGCCUCAGAGCCGAUGCUUUGACUGCAUUGACCACUUGGUGGGGCUGCUGCUUACCGAAGCCUCUUUGCAGACUUUCUUUUUCAAUCAGGUUGUCCUACUGAUCGGCGAAAGCCCUUUCUUGUGUCUGACCUUUAUCCAAUAUCUUUUCCACCUAAGCCAAAGCAGCCUAAGGGAGUAAGUAGAAUUUGAUCCAGUUCUUUAUCUUUGUCUGUAAACUUUAUCCUGCUUGGCUUUUUCUCGUUUUGGGCACACUGUCUAAACUUCGCAUAGCUAGCGUAUGAUCUAUGGCUUUUUUCUUGUCCCGUAAUUCCUACUAGCACUUGUCCUUGAUUUCCAGUGUGGGGGAGGGGGAGAUUGGGCGGACAAUAGACUGGCUUUUUCUUAACCCUGACUCCCCAGUUCACACUGGGUGAGUGUGCUAUACCAUUUCUGCUGACUGAUUCGUUGACAGUCUCUGGUUGUGCCUUGACUGAAACCUAUCUAUCGAUCAUCACAAAGUUGUCAAUGACUUGACCAAGACCCUUUGAGACAUUGGAAUGAGAGUGGGAGCCCUGAUCUUGAUCGUCUAGUCCGGAGGGAUUCCAUUUCCUGCACUAAGUGAUAGAGAAAGUGAAUUGAGGCUCUCUCCUGGUGGGUGCCCGAGUGGAACAUAGGGACGGGCUGUAAACUCGUAUUUUUUUUUUACCCAUCUUCAAACUUUUGAAAGAGGCCAAUUUGGAUCGGAGAAUUGGUAAUCAAGUCUCGGAUUUUUGGUCCAAUUUUGACUUAUUCCAUGCCUAAAAAACUUCACAAUAUAUUCCCACGUCUAAAGCAAUUACAAAAUGGAAUUCCUUGAUACCGCUUAAGCUUCCCCAAGUUCUCCCCUUUUCUCUAGUCCCUUGAAUCCCACGUUUCAAUGAAUUCGUCUCCCCAUGCACCAUUACUACUUACUACCCUACCAAUUUGAGUACGGCUUUGUUUUCCUUAUUUUCCUGAUUCCUAUUUGGUACUACUUUGUUUGACAGCCAUUCCAUAGCAGUAUUUGUGUCCCUCCCUCAAUUUUGAUUUGUAGCGGCCACGUAGCAUAAUUAUUCAUAUUCCCCUUCACAUUCUCAUCAUCAUCUUUUUUGUCUGGAAUGUUUUUUCCAAAAUGAAAGGGCCUCCAUAUUUCUUUGAAGAAAUUUAUAACAUUCCUCUUUUUGUUCUUAUACCUUUUCCCCCUCACUGCCCUCAUUUUGGUUCUCAUUGAUUUUCCCAUCCUCAUUUUGGAAAGGAAUUAUAGCAAAUUCAAUGAGGGAGAGUAUGUUCCUAUUAUUCUCUUUUCCAAUUUCAUUCUUUCUCACAGACGGUUGACCAAGCCUUAUGAAAAGAAACUUCUAUUUGCGCUCCAUCAAAUUCCGGGAAGGCAUUUCUGAGGAUCCUAGUGGCAAACUAUUUCCUUGCAUUGUUGUUUUUGAUCCCCCCACAUGAAAAUGAUAUCCCUCACUGGGAUGUUGUUCCCAUCAAUGGGUCAAUCCCAUGCCCCACAACUGCGACUAGUGGUGGCUAUCGAACCGAAGAAAGCGAGUCAAGAACGAUCUCAUCCCUUGCUCAGUCAGUAGUCGGUCCAAAGGAAGAGAGUAGGAAGAUUGACGUAGCCGGUUAUAGACACGGAAGGCAGAUAGGAACUGCCCCACCUGCCCCAACUGCACGCGCUUGGCUCAUCGCAUCUCUCAAGCGGGUGGAAAGCCUAGGAGCCGGGAAUCAGACUGAAUCCGAGACAAGAGAUACAUUGAUGGCCUCGGAUAGAUUAGCUCGGAUUGAGCUGUCCCUAUCCCUAUCAGUCGAGUGCGUCUGCCCUCAGCCGGUACGGAGCCAACCCAGCUCCCGUCCCCGCGAGUGAGUUUUGCUGGUCAACAAACAAUAAAGAGAGGGAAAGAAGGGAAUAAGUUAACAUUUCAUGACUUGAUGAUUGUUUCGGAGGUGGGAAGAGAUAAACGAACUGAAAGGGCUUGGUGUAGAAAUUGUUAGAAUGUGAAAUAGAUAGGAGUCGGAAAGGAGUGAUCGAGGACAGGUCAUAACCCAGAGAGAAAGACUGAUUACUUAACUAAGACCAACCCAAGCGAAAGCAUCUCUAUAUUGUUGUUAUUACAAAAAAACUCCCUUAAUGAAGCUCGCAUGCUGCUAGAGGAAGGCGGCUAAGCUUGACUUGUGUUGUGCGAGCGAUGAUGAACGUCUGCCUUGGCAAAGACGAGUGACUUUGACCGCAGCAAAGUACAGACAUAGGCACAUCUUUUCGACCGGGGAAUAGUUUUUCUCCGGUCCUUGCAGGACCCUGCUCAAAUAAGAUCUUGCUUGUUCAUUACCAUCUCUGUUCUUCUGCGAUCAGAAUGCUCCCAACGACUCGUUUAAGGCUGAUGAUAUGUAUAGCCGUAGCGGUUCUCCGGGCCGAGGAGGUAUUAGAACUGGUGCCUCAGAGAGGUCAUUCUUAAUUCGUUGCAAGACUGGGGCGGUCUAAAAAAACUCUUCAUCCUCUGUUGUCUUGAGCAGUAGGGUACUGGAUUUUCCCUGAAAAGUUGGAGCUGGGGAAAUUGAUCUGUCCGAUCAAGCGCCGCAACUCCUUUUUGCUUCUUGAGGGCCUUGAUUGCCCUGGAUUUCUUCUUGUCAAUUUCAACCCCUCAGUUGUGCACUAAGAACUUAAGGAAGUUUCCUGCUGUUACGAAAAAUAUUUUGACGGGUUCAUCUUCAAGCCGUGUUCUCGCGCUCAAACACUGUCUUGAGAUCAGACAGAUGACCCUCUACAGGGAAAGACUGAACAACUACAUCGUAAAUAUACACCACCUCUACGAUGUUUACAAUAAAGUAAUGGAAGAUGAGGUUCAUUGCUCGCUGGUAGGUAACUCUAGCCUUAUUCAGACCGAAGGGCAUCACCUGCCAGCAGAAUAGUCCGUUUGUUUGUCCAACAGCACCCGGACAACGGAACGCUGUUUUUGCCUCGUCCUCUUUGGAGAUGAAAAUAUGGUUAUACCCCAACGUCCAUGAAUGACAGAAUUUUUUGCCCAGCUGCUCUGUCCACUAACAGAUCAGCGAUUGGCAUUGGAUUCUCGUCUGGCAGGUGGGGCAACAUUGAGAUUCCGGAAAUGCAUUCUCUUCUCUCUCCACCAGCCCUUGCUCUGGGCUUUUUGUUGGGGCAAAAAUACGAUAGAUAAAGAUCUAAUACGAACCUUGACGAAGGCUUAUCCCGACGGGCGAGAAAAAGGUAAAGGACGGAACCAAUGCUGUGUGGAAAGAUGCAACGAGGAAACCUCUUCCCGGUCGAAAGCCGUGCAAAGACGUAAGAGGAUACUGCAGCAAAGGAUAUUGAAAGAAAGGUUCAACUAGCUUGACUCGAACCAGCUUUUUUCAAGGUCAAAUAGACGCUUCGGAAAGGAGUGUAUGGGGCGGAUCCUCCUACAAACUAAUAGUGAAAGUUUAUCGGGCAGUCUGUUCUGGACACUUUGUCCUUUAACAAGAAAUUUCUCAGUCUAGUCAGUCCCGCUUUCGUGACCAAUUAGCUACCAUAACGAAGAAAGGAGAAGCAUUAAAGGCAGCCCUGCCCUCGUGUCUAUCCGCUCAGGGAGCCUGUCUUCCGGCAAACUCAGUAGAGUUUCACCAGCUUUGACAUAAGGUAAAAAAGCAUAUGCUAUUGGUUUCACUGACUUUGAAGUCUGAGCGGGGAGUGGGCAAGCCAACCUCUUCCCGUCUUUCUUCAGAAUCCCACCGCCCUCCUUCGCUUCCACUCUCUCUUCCCCUUCACUCUCCUUCUCCGCCCUCCCCUGUGCCAGGCAAGUAUGACUGCCCUCUUCCUCCCAAGGCUAUGGACUAUAAGGAGGCCGCUUCUCUGUCGAUCUCGACUGGGCUUUCCUUGGAAGAUAAUCAACGCAUCGGAAAAGAGUGCGGUAUUAUCUUCCCGGCGAACUUCUUCUCUUCUAACUUGGAGGAACUUGCGAGCUAGCCACUUCGACUGGCUGGUUUUUGUUUCCCUUCUGGAAUGAUGGUCUCCGGGUAGUACUCAAAUGUGCAGAAGUCGGUUUGGACGUUGAUUCCUACUACGAGUUUUCGGUCAGAUGUACAGAGGUGUUGAAGAUGCGCAACACGGUGCGGACGUUCUUCGCCGAGAAAUUAGUUCUUGGAUAAGAGCUGCUCGAGCUUGGAGGUGCACGCUUUUCUCUACGUUGCAUGAGCUGCAUGGGCGCUAGCUUCGAGAUUCCCCGCCCUGUCGCUGAACUGCGUUGGAAUACGUCGGGGUCUUUUAGUUUUGUCGUUUUUUGCCAUGUCUGUUACUUUUUAGGGUCUGGGCGUUGUCUCUCUCUACCUUACUCUACUCUCCCCCCCCUCUGUAUUCUUUCUUUACUAAAGAAUUUUCGGGACCUUCCCGAUCCCGAACUUCAAAAAAUAAAAAGAGAUCCUUUUCAGGCAAUAUCAAAGUGGCAUAUCAAUUUCACUUGUAGAUUGGAAAUAAGCUUAUCAGAAAGAUUGAAAAAGACGAUAAGGUUAUUUCCAUUUCGAUAGCUAGAAGUGGACGACUUAGCUUGACGGCGGGACUACCUAUCGCGAGAAGGGGCUAGAGCGAAAGCGGUUGUUCCUGGAAGGGGAGAAUGCUAAGCUAAGAGUGAAGAUGAGGAUGAAAGACCGAACGAGUUGUAGUGUCCGUGUGUGUCUCUUCUCUUCCACUCCUUGAUGAUCUCUUGGAAUGUGGUAUGGUAAGUACGGUUCUGCUCUUGAUUCAAUGUGGGGCUUCUCGCUUCAAUGGGAUAAUUGUUUGUUUCUAGGUCAUGCCAUCGAUUGCCCAAAUCGUCUACUAAGCUAUUCUUUCUGACCAUAGCUUGCCCUCUUUCGUGCUACAGCGACAGUGAAAUGGCUUAAUGGUUGGUGGUAGCGAACACUGCAACUGACUAGUGAUUGCCCCAAAUAGAGAAAGAAGGGCGGCUCGGCUCAUACUCUUUCCUUCCCAUGCUUUGAUUGUAGUUCGUCACGGGACUUUCCUUCCCCACAAAAGUGCCUUUGUCCCGGGGAGACUAAUCUCGGAUAACAUUCGUUUCACCCAUGAAAUGAAUUCUCUCCUACCUGCACAAGACAUUGAGAAAAGCAGGAGGCAUGUGUAUCAAGCGACAGCAACGAUCGAGAGAAAAAGGGCAAAUGAAUUCCGGAAAAUGAGAAUUAGGGAUGAGAAUGCGGACCGCCUGUAUCUGUCUUGGUUUUCCCUCUGUCAAUUCUUACUCAAUGUUAUGUUAUACGAGGGAAAAAAAGAGUUUCAUCGAAAGAAAGACAUCAGAGACAUAUCUUGAGUUUUGAACUGAGAUUGCAACUGAAAUCUGAUCUACAGCAGGAGUUUGGGCGUUAGCUCUUAAUGGCUUAGCGUGUCCCGUAUUUUUAUUUUCAGUGUCCGGGGCAGCUACUCUCGUCUCUAGUUUAGCACAGAUCUUUUCCGGCAAUGGAAGCUACAGGUCAUCCCCCCGUAGAAAAAAGUAAAUCCCUCUAACCCGGAAGACAAUACUGUUUUAAAGAAAGUUCUUAAAGAGAUAAGUCAACCAAUAACUUGAAGUUUUAGAUAAAAGCCCGUCAUCCUUAUACUCAAAUUGUAGUAUGACUCCUUUCCUUCUCUGUACUCCAUACUAGCAGUAGGCUUGGGAAAGAGAAUUCCUUAUUCUUUAAUGUGAGCAGUCAAGGUAUUGCUCGUCUUCCAAACCUUUCGGGAAAGUAGCAAAUCUUCUUCUUAUUGACUUGGUAGCUGGCUGACGAAGCAGACCUAUUUUGCAGAGUGUCCAGCGGAACAGCAUGACCAAAGGCCGAGACAAGGUAUCGAGUCAAGGAGAAUCCACAGCGCAAUCAGACCUUCAGGCUCUGUUUUCCUCUGCUUCUAAAGCCAGCUUCUUCCAUGGUAAGGUGUCGUCGUCGGCCUCUUACUAUUUGUAUAGGGCCAGUUGCUUAUACAGCAUCUUUUUUUUAUAGUCUUGUUCUCUGUUAACUGGAUCGAGAAAGUCAACUGAAGGUAUUGCCAGAUUAGACUUUUCGCUUCCAACUCGGAACCACUGACAACUUCUCUUUCCUCCGAUCAAUAUGAAAGAGUUCCACUCGCCCUGACUUGUGAACGGAAAGAUUCUUUGAUCUAUCUACUAAGCCCGCAACGGAAAGAGUGAUCCGCGGAAACCAUUGAAAGCAAGCUAGCAACUAAUCCGGAUAUUCCAUCAUGCAACUCAAUCAAGACAAGCUCAUCUUGCUAUUCACGAAAAUCCUGAAUAAACCCCUGUGAAACAUACUCCUAACAGCCGACUCAAACUAUUACUAUAUAUUACAUAUACUAUAUAAUCGAGUUAGUUAUUGUUAUAUACAAUACCGUAUUUCAUUAGUUAAAGAUUGAAAGAAAAUGAAAUUCUAAGAGUUAGCCUUAUCAAAAUGAAAAGAGGCACUCCCAAUUGUGACAGUAGAUUUAAGAUCAAAAGAGUCAAAGUACAACGAAUAGGCAAGAGAAUGGAACCCGCAAAACACUAACGAAAACGUUAGCUCAUGAACCGGCAGGUCACUAGUCGAUAUGAUUGUCCAAAUGGACACACCAGACCAGUAAGAAGCAUAGGAUCAGUCACCCAGCGAUGAACUGUAAGAAGCACUACACUAAAACUAUUAUAUAUACGCACGCCCCUCCCGAUCAAAAGAAGGAAAAGACUUUCUUUUCAUGAUGACGGUCUAUAACGCAAGGUCAUUCUGGGCAAUGACAGACGGACUUAGACUUUGGUUGUGUAGCACUGAUCGGUCAUGAUCCUUGAUCAAGAAAGAUUGGUUAGAAGAAAGCAGGCGAGUCGUGCAUCUGAAUAAACUCCUAAGCCUAAGCAGCCAUAUACUCUUAAAAGAUAAAGCAAGCAAGUGAAGUCACCGAUCAAAUCCUAAAAGUAAAAGGUUUCGAACGGCUUUUUUUUUUUUUAAUGAUGGUUGUUGGCUAGCAUGGGCGAAGAGCCCAAAAGUCCUAUGCCAUGCACUAUUUACGUACUUUAGAAGUUAAUUAGAGAGAGAGAGAGAUGGGAGAGACAGAGAAUAGUAAGCUUACACAUACUUUAUGAGUACAAAGGCCUUUCGUACUGAUUAAGUACAUUUUGGAUGGAACUUUGAAGUAAGGAGUAUAAAACUUGUUAAAUAUGAUCUAGCGAUUAGCGAUUAUGUAUCAUGGCAUGAAGGUAUACCGAAAUUGCAAGCAAGAUACGGAUGGGUGAUCUGCCGUGCGGACAUGCCGUAUGCGUUCCGGUCACAAAAAAGCUUGGAUGACUUAGGCAUGUGAGCCGACAUAAAAUGAGCAUCAAUGAUUGUGGACUUUUCGUUUGCAACAAAAUAUCUCUAAUUGUUUAUUAACUAUUUUUAUCAAAUUUUUUGAACUUUAUUGAAAAUACUUACUAUUGUUUAAAAAAAGAGGAGUUCUACAGGUCAUUGCAUCGGAAGGAGUACUUCGGGAUUGCAUCUUCUGUAGUUAUAUCCUUUAAUGGCGAACCAUACCGGUAUGUAGAUAACGGAUUGGUGCCAAUAGGCAGUCAAAUCCUGUUUAGAUGUCAUUUGAAGUAUACCUCAACGACAUUCCAUGUUUUACAAAGUAUAAUUAUUCGAGCCUCAAGUGAUUAUUUAAUAGUCAAACAGAUGGAUAUUCUAAAAAUAUUAAGAAUCUUUGAUUUAAGAUGAGAGUACUGAUCUCGAUAUGUGAGGAAUAAAUUUUUAUAAAACAUUAACAAUCAAGCAAAUAAAAAAAAGAAUUGUAUCCAUCUAUUAAUGCAUAAGAUGUCGUUCGAUGAAAAUUGUAAUUUAGGGCCUUUUGAUGAUAGGUAAAUCGGACACGGUCGAAAAAAUCUUGAAGUUGAUUUCUAGAAGGUCUUGGAUGCUGCUAAGAUCAUGUCAAACAGUAUAAUCGUCCAUUGAAAGAGGCUAUCAUCGAAGACUUUAUAGUAUGAAGCAUAAAUUGUGACCGUUAUACUCAUAGUUCAAUAGUAAAGUUCUCUCUGGCCCUCCACGUGUCCGCGGGUUGGAGGGGGAAGUGACAGUUGGUGGUUAGAAUUAAUCUAGAGUGAAACCAUUCUGUGGUCUACUUUUUCAUUAGAUCAAACUUCGUUUGGAUCCAGGUAUGCCUACAAUACACAUUAACCCAGGAGGAUGAUCAUCAUCCUAAGCUCCACAAGCCAUUGAUCCAAGGGGCUCAAAACCUAAGCACCAACCCUUGUUCUGAUUGAAUCAGCAAUCCUCUUAAUGAACCACAUCGACUUGUUAAAAAGAAAAACAAUGUAUUUCGUAUCUUUUUUGAUCUUGAUUAGUGACCUUAUCUAAGAGAAAUAUUCUCAACUUGAUCAAAGAAUGGUAAAUAUAAUUUUUUGUCGCCUUAAGCUCCAACAGAAUUAUGAUGGAAUGUCCUAAGUUCAAAGCAAUAGAGAGGUCGUGAGGUUGGACGGACGAAACAAAUUUACUAGUUAGGUAGCCUUUACUAAUGCUAGUGAUUCAGGUAAGGUUGUAUGUAACCAAUAAAAUCUAUGGCAAUAGCUUAAGACACUUACGUGGUUUGAAUCGGCACAAACUCCAUAUAGAAGCUUGCAAAUUACUUUAUCAUCCACUCUUCUAGUGCAGCAGGAAGUGAAGUUUUUUCUGUCAACUAGUGUAGUUCUGAAGAUAAGAAUACUAAUCUCCUUCUGAGGUAAGAGUUGAGAUGAACGCACUCAGAAGGAGCAAGUUAUAGUCAUCUCAAUCCAUUUCUUACCUGCUUCGAAAGGAUGAACAAAGAGCACACUGGUCGUCGAUCCCUUUCUCUGAAGAAGAGGCAUGAAAUUUGGCCUAUUUGCCGUUUAGUAUUCAGCUGGAUUGCAUGACCCUUCCGCUAAUUAGUUGUUGAAAGAGGCAUUUAUCAUGUCUAGAAAGAUGGAGAGUCAGCUGGUGGCCAGUGAACUGGCUGAGAAUCUUAUAUCAGCCCAUCUGCGCUAAAAAAGGAAAAUGGAAUAAAAGAAACAAAGAUCUUAUGCAACGUACAGGGUGGAAAGAAAAAUUUAAUCAUUAUAGCGAUGAUUAAGGGAGAUGUUAAAAAAGAAUGUAUAAUAUAAGCUCAGGCAUCAGUAAAGAACCCAAUACUGCGAACAGGUACUAAUGAAAGUGGAGAAAACAACUCGUUAAAAGUUCAUGACUUUAUUUUAAAGCAAUUGUGAUACGAUCGGGAGAGAAAUUGAACAGGGAAUGCCAUACUCACUAGACACAAUUAGCAACUUUAACAUUACUUAUGUAACUUAGUUAGAAGAAAACGAAAACAAGUAUUUGUAGUCAAUAACUCAAAUGAGAAGUGAAAUACAUACUACACAGUAAAAGGAACCAGAACCAAUAAAAAAAGGAAAAAAAAUUUACAGAAGAAAAAUUAAUUACACCACAAAUUAGAUAAAGCAUAUUAGUCUAAUAUGAGAACCAGCAGGAGUGAUCAUUCUCCGUGCAGGCUGCUUGGAGGACUCGAGCAGUAAGGAAUCAACGGAUCAACAAGUUCUUCGGAUGUUACUUCUGCCAAGGGAUUAUAAUGAUUAAAAAGAGAAAAGCUUUGAGUAGAGUUGGAUUGUAUUCAAGGUGAUUAUCGAGGAGUUGUCAAGCCCAGGAUGCUGUGUUGAAUGAGUCCCUGGCAACUCUUUGAAUAACAUCUUUUAUUCCUGCGGCGUUUAGUGUUGAGUCCUGUCAACCGGAAAAGCAUGCGACCAUUUUCAGUAGAGGAACGAAAGCGCUUUUCAGCAUCCAUCAUUUAUUUUAGUUGAAGCAGGCUCUAAGUAAUCUACAAGACAUAUAAAAUUCACCAAUGAUGAAUGAAUGACUAUGCUCAUUCUCUGGCAUUACUGUCAUAGUUAAUUGUAUAGCACAAUGAUAUAGUGUUGUUAACAGAUAAUCUGAUACUGAGAAAUUGUUAUGUUAUUCCGUUAUAGAAGAAGACAUGGGGGGCUGCUUCUCCAAAACUUUGUUCCAUUGAAUCAAGGCCUGGCAAGAGCCGUUGCUGAGUCCUUGACUGGGAGGUGUUAAAAUUUUCCGAAGCAACUUCUCAAAUAUUGCUUAAUUUAACCUUAUCUGCUUUCUUUUGUGACAGAAUUUCUGAUCUUGAGUAGUUUAGGUCUAGUCUUGCUUGUGAAUAGCAUGAGGGUGAUAUUGAAUAAUUCCUAUCUUGAUCUUAGGUUCUAUCACCUCUCAGUGCGACCUGCAUAUGAAUGAAAAGAAAAACAGUUUUAUAUUUUAUUGGACUAAUUGAAAUUUUUCAUAUUAUUUUGUUUUUGGCAUCAACUAUCCAGGCCUCCCUUCCAUAUUAAUCGUUUUUACGCGAUCAGUAUCUUCUCGAUAUGAAUAAAUUUUACUUCCGUAUUGCUCCUUUUUGAUGAUCCCGUAGCGCUCAAUGAGACUUUCAGCAAGAUGGAGUCACAAAUCGUGAUUGAAAUUGGUGCUAUACAUAGUGCUAAUACUUAUCAUUCGAUAAUUUUAUGGAUGGCCAGUCCGCUUAGAUAGCUCUGUACAAAAGCAAUGUUUUGCCUAGUAUAAAGAACUAUAGUUCUUACAGGAGAGCAAAUAGAAUGCAAUUUCCCUAGUGUUUGAUCUGACACUCUAAAAUGAAAGGAGCAAUAAUUCUCAACGCAACCUGAAAUAUCAGUUUCAGGAUAUAAGUAAUCAAUUUACCAAUGAGCAAAUAUUAUAUUCUACUGCUGAAUAGAAGGUAUUAUCAAUAAGUAUUGUGUCAAAAGAUUAUCUUUUCUAGCUAAAGUGUGCACCAAUUUCUAGGGCUACUAUUGACUCUCUUCAUACAGACUGUGGAAUGCGAAGACGUAAAACAACAAUUUCCAACGGAAAUUAGGUGUUAAGGACUGAUGCCUAUACUUUUCGCAAAGUAUUUGAAACGGUCCAGUAACAUUGAAUAAAGAGUUGAUAUUCAACAUUAAAAUGUAUACACAACCUAGCAUGUACUUUCACAGCUUCAAAUAGGACUGAAUACCAUUUCAAUUCCAGAAUUCAUGGUUAAAAGUAAACGCAAAAGCUGCAAUUAAAUGAUUGUCAGAUGAAUAGGGAUUAGUAAUUUUAAAGCUUAUGUAAAGCCAAAUACUUGUAUCAGAGAAAAGAGCUCUUUUUGAUAGAGAAAAUAUCUUUGUCUUGCACAGCCCAAUUGGCGCUUCUGUUAAUACUGAAGUUUUCUUAUAGUAAGCUAAGGAUUUAUGUUUAUCCACCCAUUUAUUGGCAUGUUAUAAUCAACUUGGCCCGGUUUCAGCUGAAGGAGGCGUGCAUUCAGCUCCUUCUACUUCUGUGUGCGUCGAUUUGAACUUUAGGUCGCCGAAGCGCACUUAACUCUGAGUAGGCAGAAAAUAUUUGCACACGGACGUAUGGAUCUCAUCAAAGUGGUCUGCAUUUUUGGAAUUUCUGCUGAUGCCAUUCGAACUUAUACAGGAAAAUACCAAUCUGCUUUUUCCCAGAUUCAAUCUAUAUCACACACAUUCAUUUUUUUUAUCUGUCAGAAAUUUAUUAUAAUGCACACGUGUCGACUGGUUCUUUGAUUCAAGAGCUUCGAUAGUCGCUCUCACCGGGGGGGACAGCAGCCUGCCUGGCAAGGCGGAAUGUGUGUGUGAUGAGCUCUUCUCCCCUUUUUGUUUGCCAGCCACUUCUUAUAAUUUCCUAAAGCCCACCACAAAUAUGACAAGCUUGUGAGUCAGAUUUUUUGAGGAGGGACGAACUUACCAUAGAGCUAGUCAGCAGCUUUGAUGAAGUCCGCCUCUUUCUUUGGCUUGUCAACACUGUAGCCGUCAGUCGUUCAUACCAAGUCAGUUUGUUUGUUUGACCAAGUCCAAGCAUGCUUGUUCGGUUGUUACUGAUCUCAGAACCGACAGACACUUGGUUAAAUCUGACUUUAGUUACAUAUCCAUCUGUCUGUGAAUUCCAUAAUUUGUUCUUCUAGUCUCUGAAGUAUUGCUUCGGCCUUGGUUGGAAAAGUGAUAUUCUCAUUGUGUCUACUUUUUCCUUACAGAGUUGAGCACUUCUCGAUCAAGGAAAUAUGCGACCUGAGUAAGCCAUCUUCUACUUGUUCUAAAUCCUUUGUUUUAGAGAGACCAAUUUUGAAUAUUUUUGUCCAAACUCAUGUAGGCUUCGCCGGUUUUUUGCCAUUCUGUUUAGACUAUGCUUUCUUUUGAUUCUACAACCAUUGUUGAUAUGCUGCAGCGCAUAGUCAUCUUCGUCCGCAUUUCUUCAAUCCAGAUGAGUUCUCCGAAGAAUGACUUCUCUCGUAUAGACUGUUAAUGAGAGAUGAAUGUCACAGCAGAUGCUAAGCACACUAAGAAGUCUUUGAAUUCCUGCUGCAAUUUAGUGCCGUGUCAUUUACAUUCCUCUUCACUCGAAUUGGAAUCGGUCAGAUGAGGAGUACGUCCCAAGUGGAUAGCUUGCAUCGCUUUCUUCAUCUCAACAGACUUUUUAUUAGGACAGUCAGAUGCGAUAUGGCCAAAGCCUCGUUACUUGUUAGCAUUAAAAUUUGACCUUCACCGGCUUGUUCUUCUCUUUUGUGGACGAGUCCUUUUCGGAGAGUUAUCAGAUAUUUUCUGAUAUUUUGAUGAGGAAGAGGAAGACGCAACCCCCUUUUAGAUUUGUUUGUCUUUGGAAGAAAGUAGGACUUGGAGGAAACUUCUUUCUAAGUUCCGUACGAAAUUCUUUUAAGAAGUGCCUUAGUUGUUUUCAAAGUCCUCCAGGGGCUUCUGUCCGACUCUGAAAUCUGCAUGAGAGUUGAAGAGUACAUCUGCUUUCUUGUGAUUUUAGCAGCCAUCCCUGAGGCCUUUAGGGAAAAAGACUUGGAAGAGGUACGAAUUAGAAAGGAAAAGUAUUUCAUAAGUUUUGAAGCAGCACCUACUAAUUCUUCUACCGUGAGUUCAUUCAGGAUGUUUCGGACCUUUCAAUAGCUGCAACCGGAGUGACGGAACAUCGUUCCGGAGGAGGGUCUCAAAAUUUUUUCGAAACAAUUUGGAAUCCAGGGAAUUUGCUCGACCCAGUAGCACACAUGUUUACAAUGUCUUGCAGACGAGUUAUAGCUACUCGUAAAAGAUUCGAUGUUUUCCAUACGAAAUGAAUCAAAUCUACUAGUAGCAUUGGUAUUUGUUGAAUUCUUAACCACAGAUUGUACCCUCGUGUGUAACUCGCAAAAGUGUUCCCAAAUCAUCUUUGCGGAUUGCGCACACCGAGACGCGUGAGAAAAUUCAGUUUAGUUAUUUAAAGCAUUGCAAUUAAAGACGAUUGAUACCUUCCCAUUUGAAGGAAGAUAGUCAUUUUCCUCUUUCGUUCCUAUUUAUUCCUAGGUUUCGGGCUGGGCACGCGGUAACGUUCUCGAACAACUCGGUAGGGGUUUUCAUCCGAAUAUCAAUUGGCUUGCCAAACGCUCGCGUAGAAUAAGAAACGCCCUGUUUAUAAGGACUUUCCAAUAUGCCCAUAGUUAAGUGCCGAGUCGAGACGGCGGUCGAAUUGAUUGUUACCGCCCUCACCAAUGAAUUACAACCAUAUACACCGCUCUAUACCACUUAUCAAGAUAUGGAUCCCGAUCGCGAUCUAAAAGGUAAGUAACACCUAGAGCGGUGGGUGAAUCAGGCUGCAUAACAAUGCGCAAACUCAAAAAAUCUCCGAGCGAAUAUAAAACAAAAUAGCGAAAGAAAACAACACACCGAGAAUUUAACGUGCGGAAAACCCAAACUCGAGUGAAAAAACCCACGGGACACAUCACGCAAAGAAAAAUCCAUCUAGAAACAUGAGUACAAGGUGAUCUUGAACCCAAACACAGAGCUCAAUUUACCAUUUCCCGUAGUGCAGAUCUUUUCGCGGCCUCGAUCGGUUAUAAGGAAUCCUCAUCGACGUUGCGCGCAAACUCCUCGCACGCGUCAACGCCUCAAUUCUCGAGCUUUCCACCGAAUUUUCGCUUCACGCGAGAUCGCGACGCGUCGAACCUGCCUUCCGGAGCAUUGUAGGAAUCAGAAGAGUUUUGAUGAUUUAACCUUUUGAUAUCAUNNNNNNNNNNNNNNNNNNNNNNNNNAGGAAAAACUCGAGGUCUGGCGCUUAUUACCAUAGUCGCAGCAUAGAAAAGUCAGGUGCCUGAUGAAAUAGUCUAUGAAAGGGGAUGUCACCUGAAAGAACUGAAGACUGCCUCCAUGCGAAGAAGAGAGAAGUCGGUUCUCCCCCGCUUCGCUCUCCCCUCGGGGAAUUGAGUAGUUUUUAGAGUAGAGUCGAGGAGAUGACGAAGAGCUGAAGAAGAGAAAGUUUACAUUGCGACGAAAGGAGGUCUCGCUUCGACGUUCUCGCGGGGGUUCUUUCUCUUUCUCUCCGCCUUCAAACGAUUGGUUUCGUUUAUUCUCUCCAACAACUCAUGGAGUAUGGAUCCCUCUCAUUGCUUCUAAUUCUCUCUCUUUUCCUACCUUCAGCAAACUGGGUACAAGGUUCUAUCAUUAGGUGUGGGCGCUGAUGAACCAUUUGAUGAGCUUAUGGUUUUGCCUUCCUGAAUACAGGAUAGCCCUCGAAUGGAAGAGAACUUUUAGAAGCGCUCUUGAGGUCUGAUGUGGACCCCCUCUUAAGUAAGCUGUUUCCGAAUCAACAAAAUCUCUAUGCUUAACAUAGACGAAUAAGGAUGGGUUCCGCUGGGCUAGAUCGUGAGCUAUAUGCUUAUAACAUCCGAUCGAGACCAAUCACACAAAGAAAAAAAUGGAUUACCUGUCUUUCCCUCUCUUGUCAACUGCAUACUGCAUGGAGUCUUCCCCGGAAAAAAGGCGAGGCUGUCGAUAUGCUAUUCACAGCCUGAGAGUGAGCAGAGAAUAGUCUUUUUAUUUACUUUAUUUGACCUUUUUUACCUUCAUGUGGCAAACUGGGGAACUUAGGUUCUCAAACUUUACUUUAUUUUCUUGCGCGACGAGAUACUGAUAAAUAUCAGUAGCCCGUUUUCGCUUAGGAAGACAAAGCAGUGUCAAGCCGAGGGACAGGUCGCGAUGGAGAAGCUGCUCCCGUAAAGGCUCAAACUCUGGGCGCAGGCGCAUCAGGAGCAGAUAUAGGCGCUGGCGAUCACGGAACUGCUGAUAUGUCUUACAACUGAGGAGGGAAGCUGGAGGCGGAGGCGAAGAUGAGAAUGCAAAAGGAAAGCAUUUCUCGCCAUGUGGUUUUUGACGAGAAAUGUAAAGGCGACCGGUUAGAGGAUCUGAAAGAGAGAGUGUAGAAAAUUGAGCGAGGGAUCGAGUGGUGCGGGAACUCCGGAUACUGCUAAAUAGUGGUUUCAGUUCCACAGAAAGGAAUCAAUUGUUAAGAAAGCAUCUCUGGGCCUGGGCUUGGAUCAAGCAAGCUCAUAAUUUUCUUAUAUGCAGGGAGAGAUUGAAAAACUGCAGACGGAGCAUUUGAACGGUGGUAACCAUAAGCAGUUUCCCUUCAACACAAAAGAGGAAAAGCACGGCUCUUCCGCGCUGUAUGGGAUUUCAAAGGGGGAGGGGUAGGUAAAUGAGAAAGGUAGAGUAAGAUAUUUUCAUUCUAACAGAAUGAGCGGAUCCAAUACACAUAUUGUCUUUGACAUAAAAAAAGAAGGUUGUAAUAACGAAACAGACAUUUGAGAAUUUUGUCCUUGCCUUGCCAGUGGAACAAGAAAGACUAUAUAGAUUUUGAUAUGAAAUACACAAUCAAAGGAUUUCGCUUCCAUAGAAUGACGGAAUUCCCCUUGCUUAGUUUUCGCUCCGCUCGUGCGUGGCACUCCUUGCUUGCGGAGCGGCAUACCGAAAAAAAAAAGGGGGAGUUGGCGCCUGUUAUGUAGAAGUCAAUAUUCUCGCAAAUUGAAUUAUUUCUUUUUUUUUUUCUUCGCAAUAACUCGGGAUGUAAUCCCAUAGAGAUGAUUAAUUAGACUCCUGUAAAUUCAAUGGGAUGAAUUGCAUCCUGAUGAUACUGAAUCGGAUCAAUAUUAUGAAUAACAAUAUCUGAUCUAUCAAAUCGAUUCAUCGUCGAGAAUUGAAUAGUAUAACAUAGGAAGAUUCUUUAUCCAUACUAACUAUUAAAUAAAUGGGAUUUUUUUUUUUAUCAGGAAUCCAUUGCAUUUUUCAUCCUCUUCCACUUUUUCUUUUCUAUAACUACUGUCUGUCUUCCUUAUCUUAUACAAUUCUCCUUCCUUUUUAUAUACUUAUACAUACAAUGAUGAGGUAUUAUAUGACCGGUAUUCUAUGGGUCACACACAGACCCAAACGAAGUGAGAUGGAAAAAAGAAGGGAAACAAUAAAAAAGAUCUAAAUAUCCAACAAAUUUACUGAAAAGGGUCCUUGCUUGGUCUUUUCUUUUAUUAUAUUAGUAUCCUCUUUCUUUUAUUAUUUAUUGUACUGUCAUAAAAAAUGAUGUCUGCUAUUUGAAUGAGAAUGAGAUAGAUUGUUUCCAAUUAGUCAUUGAGGAUACACAAACAAAGUCAGAGCUAGAAAAAAGGUGUGGUUUAACCUGAAAAGUACUCUGUCGAGGUAAUUAUGUUAAGUUCAUUGUCUAUCGUACAAGCAAGAUAGAAUACUCUUUGUGUAUGUACUCCCGGUAAAAUAGGGUCACUCUACUCCAUUUCAUUGAUCAAGAACAAUCUAAAAAUUAAGUAAGACGAGGAUGGUAUCUCUUAAAAUACUUAUUGUAGUAAUACCACAUAUUAUACUAAUAUACAUAGGAUAUGUCUCUCCUUUAUCAAUCGGAGUAGUGGAAAAAAUGGAAAUUCCCGUACCCGUAUUUGUCUGAUGAUAAAUGCGAAAUAAAAAACAAAAGAAAAAUAAAGAUCCCACUCCACUGGGGAUUAGAUCUUGCUUCAUCUCUCCCUUUUCCGUGAAAAGAGAGAGAUGAAUUGAUAAAUUCACCGGAUCCUAGUUCGGGACUGACGGGCUCGAACCCGCAGCUUCCGCCUUGACAGGGCGUGCUCUGACCAAUUGAACUACAAUCCCAGCGAGGUGUAUGCAUACAUAUUCUUAAUGUAAUCAUAAGAACAUUAACGUCGUCGUAUUGUAAUAAAGACACGAAUGAUAUACUGAUAUCAUAUCCACAUAUAAUAUGGGCUAUAGUGAGAGUGACACGGAUUACUAGUAACCAAUAAUUAUUUUACUGCCCAAAAUGGAUAAUCAAUCUUUCUAUGAGAAAAAAUAACUAAACUAUUUUGCUUUUCAUGAUACUUUUCUUAAUGAAGUCUAGUAUCAUGAACUAGAUCCUUAGAAAGAUCUGAAGGAGAAAAAUAUGGAUGAGAAAAAAAUAAAAAUUUACUCUUCUCUUUAUUUCUACGGAUUAGGCAUUUCCGUUUAUGGAAGAAAAAUUGGUUAUAUCAUAUUCAUGGAGCGGUGAAUUAUUGGGCCGAGCUGGAUUUGAACCAGCGUAGACAUAUUUCCAACGAAAUUACAGUCCGUCCCCAUUAACCGCUCGGGCAUCGACCCAGGAAGAAUUCAUUCUAGGCUUAUUGAUAAUCUAUGAUAAACUUCCUUUCAUAGUACCCUACCCCAGGGGAAGUCGAAUCCCCGCUGCCUCCUUGAAAGAGAGAUGUCCUGAACCACUAGACAAUAGGGGCAUAUACGCCCGACCGUCAUCAUACUAUGAUUAUAGUAUGAGCAGUUUUUUUUAAUUGUCAAUAUAGUCUAAUGGUAUGACUAGAUCCUAAAAGUCUUUCCUACUUUGUUGUUAUGAUUUCAUAGAAUUUUUUUUUUUAUUUGAUGAUUCAUGAAUGAACCAUCCAUACUAUUUAUAACGAAAGGAGGUAUAGGAUUCCUUCAGUUCAGGCAGUGAUUUGAUUGGUCUGACAGAAAACAGAAAAAAGAGUCAAAUGUCAUUUAAUUUCUUUUCUUCAAUUUGAACUCAUUGCUUCAUUUAGUGUGAAGAUAAAUAUGCCUAUCACUAUCUCACACUAAGCCAGAAAAUACAAAAAGGAUAGAAAUUUGAUCUUUUAUUUUAUAAGAAUUCGUUCAGGGUACUAAUCCCCUCAUGACAUGAUUCAUGAAAAUAUCUUGAAUCUAUGUCGAUGUCGGAUUAGUACAUUUUUCAUGAAAGUGAAUGUUGUUCUGAGGGUCAGUAAAAGUAAAUAAGUGGGGUCUGUCUUGAAACAAUUUACUGCAUUAUUUUAUAUCAAAAUCUUUUUCGAAAAAGAAAAAUAAUAAUUUUACCUACUUUUGGAGUAAAUCCAAUUUCUUGUUCCUGAAGAAUUCCUAGGCAUAUAUAAAUAAAAAAAAAAUAUAUAUAUAUAUAUAUAAAUAUAUAUUUUAUAUUUCCAAUUCCUAUAAUUAAUCGACAAACCAAAGUUUUCUUAUUUCUCCAAUGUUCUUAUCAAACCCACUAUAAAAUUCUAAAUAAAGAAAAAGUAAGUGGACCCGACCCAUUGAAUGAUGACUAUAUCAGCUAUUCAGAUAUGGAAAUUCGAUAUAGAUGAAAUUUUACAAGCGGAUUUCUUUUUAUUUCCUUAGACCAUCAAGAAUUUGUCGAUAUUUACGAUUUCAUCUUCUUGUUACUGGAUGCUCCAUAGGAAUAAAUCGCUAUUUUUUUCUUCUACAAAGUUGAUUUCAAAAAAUAGAUUUUUCAAUAUCUUUCCUUGAUUUCAUAAUCUGAUAUUGUUUUUCUUCCGCCAAUUAAAUAGAGAACGAAUGCGAGAAAAGGACUUUCAUUUCCAGUCUACCAUUAUUUAAUAUUGAAUUUUGUGGCAGGAAAAAAUAGGAAAUUUUCUUUUAUUUUGGUUUGACCCGUUAAAAGAUAUACUCUUAAAUAUGAGUCAUAGGACAAUUCAGGAUUCAAAUGGUUAUAUAGUAUAAGGACUAAUCGAAUCGAGCUCAUGGAUUUACCAUUGAUUUACCUAGGUUGGUUUGUGGCCCAAUAGAAUAAAAAAAAGGCUUUCCUCGUCUUUUUCCCGCUUUCACCUUCGAUUGCGAGGGAUGAUCGGCCGGUUUUCAAUUCGCUUCUCUAUGCGGAGCUGCGCGUGGUGGGAAGGCCUUCGCGAUUCGCAUCUUCCCGUCCGGCAAAGAAAGUGAAGGGGAGAGUGUGGAGACGCUGCAGAACCGCUUGAUUGAUCAAUCAAGCUAUUCCCUAAUUGAAGCAAGUUGGAAAGCUUUCAGAGCCUCAGCUCGUUCUGAUGAAUCGCUCCUUUUUCUGAAAGCAUGGGAUAUUGUUAAUAAUGCAGUACAGAACAUCUAUGUUCCGGUGGGAAUGAAAUUCGAUUUCCGAUGGAUAACAAUCCAUCUUUCUCGCUUUCGCUCUUUCUCCAAUCAAUCGCGAGGGUUCCGGCAUGAGAACGCAAGUGCCGGAAUCGAACAAAACGUCCGAGGACGAAAGAGAAAAUGCUCCGCGGGGAACUCGUUUCAUGUCGGCCUAUUCGUGCCGCUUAGACGUCGGCCAUGAAAUCCAUCACUAUACCGAGCAGAUCACGGGCAUUCACAUCUCGGUCAAACGGAACUGUACGCGAUUCUCUCGUGAAUCGCCUUCCGCAAGGUAUGCCCCAUUUCGGAUUCCCGGGAAGAAUAUUUCUAUACAGACAUUCGUUGCUGGUCUCAAAAAGAUCUUAUCCCGUGGGCGUUAGCGGACGUUUUUCAUUUACGGUCUUUAGUAGCCUUUCCGAAGGUAACCGCCUUUGUUGACUUUAGAAAGGCGCUAAAACAGGCAGGCCAUAUGUUCUAUAGAAGAAGACUGUGUAUGUAUAUAAAUAGUUUGAGAAAAGAUCGUCUUCAGCAUGAAAAGAAUAACCUUUGUUUGGGAUAUAGAAUUCCUUUUUUUGAUGGUCAAAGACCCUUUCUUUUCCCGGACCGAUGACUCGGUUGUUCAGUACUGCUACAUAUUAUAGGAGGAUGCCGUCCCCCUUCAAUCCAGUAGCUUCGGUUGUUUAAUAUCGUGCAAGUUAGUUGUGGUUGUUGUAUUGGCUGCAAGCGGAAAGUAGCGCUGUAGGUGUGUUUGACCAUGCACUCUCGCGUCGUGUAAUGUCGUAUGUAUGAUAGAGGUGGUGUGGUGAUUGAUCUCCAUGCUAAUGGUUAUCCCCUUUGUUCAACGAAUGAAUGAAGCGUUGAUCAGGAUAGAGAUGAUGGUCUUCGUCUUCUGUCUCCAAGCCGGCCAUACAACAUGGAAAUCAAAUAGAUAGGCGAAGCAACCAAUAGCAGUCUGUUCUCGCCUAUCGAUAGAUAGCAGGUUGCUUCCAAGCUCAAACCAUGAUCAACUGCAUUUUUGCUUGUUGUUAUUAAUGGAGUGGUAUUCUCCCCCCUGUCAAAUAAAAAGAUAACUGGAAGAGAGAAGAAAAGAGCAAACAAAGGAUUUACAAGUCACAUGGGAGAAGAACGUUGAACUGCAUCUUCAACUAUAAAAUAAAACCCCCGGGGCACCGAAGCCUCCCGCGGCAAGCGAGAUAAAGAAAGCAGCUGGACUGCCUUGCCGCGGGAGAGUCUUUCUCCAAUGAGAGAAGGUUUUGGGCAAGACAAAAGACAGGACUCGCCCUUUGACACCAGGGAUAAGAGCAGAUUGCUGGCGAUGACUUGGUGGAAUCCUUGAGAGAAGGUUAUCGAACCUAUAGACUCUACGACUUCGUGGAGACCGAAUAGAGCCCUUUAAGCGAGAGGGCCAUGCUGUUGGCGUCUUACCUACAAGGCAAGAUAAAGGCGGGGGCGGGCGGGAUCAAGCUUGAAAGAAUGGACGGGCCUAGGCUUGAUAGUGAAGGCAGACCCCCUUCAAAAUCAUCGUGUCUGGUGCUAUCUCCUUCAUAAGCUAUGAGGGUUCACCUUUAAUCAAACAUCUACUUGAUUCUCGUAUGGGUUAUCGAGUAAAAACGAAGAAUCAAGCUGAUUGUUGAUUGUUGGAAACUCAUUAUGUGAAUCAAAGCAUUGAAACGAAGAAAAAUAAGUUUCUAGGGUUUAGAAUCAGUAAAUAUUCAAAGCCUUAAACUUUUAGAUGACCCACAUAGCUUAUUUAUAUGUUUAGAAGACUUAGAAGUAGACUAGGAUUGAAAAAGUACUUUUUAAAAACCUGUGUCAUCCUCAGAGACCGGUCCUCUCGAGGAGACCGGUCUGUGAGAGACCGGUCUCUCAAGUGAGGAACCGGUCCCUCGCUGCGUGACCAAAAUCACAACGUUCGGGAACCGGUCUCUUAAGCUUGAGACCGGUCCCUUGCUGCGCGACAGAAAUACCAAGGUUCGGGAACCGGUCUCCCAUCACAGGGGACCGGUUGCAUCAAGGUUCACGCAGUGAGGACCUUAGGGGAACCGGUCUCUUGAACUCUGAGACCGGUCCCAGAACACAGAAAAGUUCAGUAAAGUAGUUUUAACACCAUCUAAGCCUUCUGAACUUAUUCUAACUAGGUAUCUUCACCACAAAUGAUCUUUUCUUCAUACUUUAGGUGUCGAGCUUUCCGAAUGAGUCUUAUUUCUUCAAUUUGAAUCUUUUUUUUCAAAACUUCUGCGAUCAACUCUUCAAGACUCCAACCAACUUUACGAAAUUCGCCAAGCUAUAAAAUCCUUAACAAGGUCCCACAAGGGGGGUGCAGCCUCACCCAUCUUCAAAUGUAGGGUAUUCGUCACCCAGCUCUACUACUCACAGGUACCCCUAUAUAAAUGUUUGCGUCCUUGUGGACUCUUGCGCGACUCGGACAGCACCAUAAAUGCCAAAAUUUUCAUUAAUCUGGGAGGUCGAUGAUAUAAAAUGAGGAUCCCUUUGUGCGUAAGUGCCCUAUAAGCUAUAAGGGUGAGCAAUAUGUAUAAAUAAAAGGAAGGAAGCAUCCAGCAGGAAUCGAACCUACUUGCCCAGGUUAGGCGCUUAAACCAUUCAGCCAUGGAUGCCGAGCCGAGUGAACUAGGUUUUUUUUGUAUUCCUUCUCGAGCUUCUAUUUCUUCCGUUAAGGGAGAUUCGGGAAAAGAUGGAAUAGGAAGACGUGUUUCCAGAACGAACAAGAUACGGGUGGAGAAGGGGAAGUUAGCAAAGUUAGACAAGAUUGGAAUGGGCAUAGGAACAUGUAUUGAUGUACCAGAUCGGCUAAUGCUCCUAGAUUGAUGCGAUGUAUUCCACCAGUUGACUGGAGACUUUAUUAUUGGUAUAUCGAUCGGUCCAGCACGGAUUGAAAUAGGAGCCGAUUCGACAGGAAGCUUUUGAAAACGCAGUGCACCCAGGUAAAUAAGGAACAAGAUGAAUACAGAAGUUAAACGAGCAUCCCACACCCGAAAGGUACCCCACAUAGGCCUUCCCCGAAACCCCCCAGUUACUAAGGUAAACAAAGUAGAAAAAGCACCAAUUUCUGUACCGGUUCCGGAAGAGCGAAGAAAAAGGGGAUGCUUUGUUAAUGGGAACAAGGAACUGUUAAUAGCCGUUGCGAUAUAAAUAACUAUACUCAUCCGAGCCGCAGGAACAUGUACAUACAGAAUACGAGAAUUUCCACCUUGUUGAAGAUCUGGUGGUGCUACCCGAAGACUUAAAUGAAUAGCCAUCGCUGUUAAGAACAACCGAGAUCCAAUGAGAAUUUGCGCGUAGCUUUUUGUCUUUGACAUAAAAAAAGAAGGUUGUAAUAACGAAACAGACAUUUGAUAAUUUUGUCCUUGCCUUGCCAGUGGAACAAGAAAGACUAUAUAGAUUUUGAUAUGAAAUACACAAUCAAAGGAUUUCGCAUUCCAUAGAAUGACAGAAUUUCCCUUGCUUAGUUUUCGCUCUCCCCCUACUAAAAUCCGGAGAAGAACUCCUUCACUAAGGAAUGGAAAUAGAAGGAUGAUUCCUCUGCUCCGCUUACAUCCUUGUAAAGCUUAAGCAAGUACUCUAUUUCGACUUGGUCCACUGUUUGAGAGUAAGCCUCCUCAAGCUCGAACUCGGCCUCAAACUCCUCUCUCCUUUUUUCCAAGAAAGAGAGGAUUGCUUCCUCUGGACUGCUUUCUACGCAGUUCUCCAGUAUAUGGGGAUGACGCUGUACUAAGUCUUUUAGGAUCUUAGUACAGCUUUCCCUCAGCUCCCUUUUCUGGAGAUCUAGGCUCUCGCAGUCCAGCAGAGCGUUAUAUUCACCCUGGGUGGAAGCAGAAUGAAGAGUAUCCUUGACCUCUUUCCAGUUGCCCUCUUCUUUAAGAAGAAGACUGGAUUGGCCAUCCUCCAUACGGAGGAUUCGGUUUAGCGAGUUUUCCAAACUUCGAUUCCUAGAUAAAUUAUUGGGUUCCCUAGGCGGCUCCGGAGCAGCCUGAGCUUCCCCCUCUUGGGGAUCAGGUACCUGCUCUAAAGCAGCCCCAAUAAAGGGGGCAACCAUGUCCCAUAAUUCGUUCAUGAUCACUCUUGAUAAAUUUGGAGAAUGAGCACUGUGAACUAUCCGCUCAAACAGGGAUAGUUGAUCGAACCGAAACCUACGUAAAUAAAGUAGGACUAAAGACGCAUAGGAGUAAAUGAGCUUCUCCUCUAUCGUAAUGCGGUAUUUCUAUUUUUCUUCUUUAUUGGUGUUUUGGCUCGCAAUAAGGCUAGGUCCUGAUCGAGCAAGACGGAGUCCUAUCUAUCUACCUCUCCAGACACAAUAUCUUGAGUACCUAUGAUGGUGACUACAUCUGCUGGCAUGUGAUGUUUGGACAUAGAAUCGAGUCCUUGUGAAUGGGCAAAGCCAGGUGCUCUUAUUUUACGACGGUAGAGACGAUUGCUUCCAUUACUGACAAGAAAGACACCAAAUUCUCCUUUAGGAGCUUCAACUGCGGUAUAGGUAGAAGGAGCUGGUACGGAAAAACCUUCUGUAUAAGGUUCGAAAUGGUGAAUUGAGGUAGAGUAGACCGAUGAUCCGGUAGUUAUUUGGCCGGCUAUGGAAAGAAAAAGCUAGCAUCUGCUCCCCCUAAACUAUAACCGGUCCCAUCUCUCUCCAAACCUAACGUGGUAGUUUCCCAUCAUAGGGCUUUCUAUCUAUAGAUUGAGCCAUUACCCACCAAGGAUCCCAUUCGUUCAGAACUCACUCAGUUGACUGCUUCUAUAGAUAAGGCGGAGCGUCCUUGGUUCAGCAUUAUAGCACAUAGGCUUCGGCGCUACUACAGCGCUUCACUAACUCGAAGCGCCUCGCUAUGAGAAUGAGGCUUCGCUAACGCUCGGCUAAGUCGUCGAACCCUCGCGCUGACUGUUCGCUUUUUCAGUAGUGAAAGCGCUUCUCUUUGCCCCAACACUAAAAAAAAAAAAGUAUUUGGAAAAGAAAGAGAAACUAGGUUUUCUUGCUCCCGCUUCCUCAUCUGCGCUCGUCAAGCCAACUUAGCUUUUUGGGAGGUGAAAGAGCGGUUGAAGCGGACAUUUCGAAAUGACAGCAUCGAAGAUAUCUAUAUACACGGUCACGGUUAUUCCGGACUGCGUUCCGGAGAAAGUAGCCUACUUGACAGACAGGGCGGGCACUCUCGGCUCAGAGGUAGGCACUCUCGUCUUUCAACCCCACCUUACUUUGCAUUUUUUUUUUUGCACUGUUUACUUACAGCCUCUACGAGUUGCAAGUGAAUGGGGCCGGUGCGUGGCGAACAGAAGUGUUCAUCAAGCCAUUUCUCGCCUCAACCCCUAAACACUUUAGGAAGAGGGCUACUUGCUAAUUUGGGGGCAACUGCAUCGCACCUGACUGUGAGGGACCUCUCGAUACCUUAUGUUCACUUUCUAACUAGUAGCCGCUUUCCCGUCGCGGAAGACUUUUCCCAGUGCGCGGAGCCCCAACGAGGAAGGUGUUAGUGCUUUCUCAUGGGGUCAAUAAUGCUAAUCCCUCUUUUUGUGCUACUCCUACGGGAAGAAGAUAAGAAAAGGCGAAGCCUUCUCUUGGUUUCCCAACCUGUUGCUGCUAAAGGCUGCCCUCUCUCGGCUGGAUUUUGGUCCAGCCUACUAUGAGGAUCCUGUAUCCCGUACAUCGUCUUUCUCCCUCCUGGGUUCCCGUGGUUCCUAUGCCGCCGCCUUUCCCGGUCCUUUUCUUUUAGUGCUUCGACCCGAAGCGAUAGCUUGACGCGUUUUCAGUGGAUAAGAUGGCUGCGCUCCAGCUCACUAAAGAAUGGGACGGCAGUGGUCCGCCGGCAAGCUCGUUCUGAUCUUGGACGCAGUACAUUGGAAUCCUGAAGCACCACCACGAACGCUACCGCGCAUGCGCCUGCGGUGUGGGGUAAGGCACCACCCUGUUGUGCCAGCAGCCAACUCCGGCGUGUCAGCUUAGUUAUCCUCAUCAAGCCACAACCUUGAUGUCUAGCUUCCCAACUGGUAGACGGUUCCCUUUCCCCCAAAUCAAUGAAGAAGGGAGAAGUCAGUUGAUUCUUCCGAAGAACCGGAAGCGAAGCGCUAUGCCGGGGCGAGGGGACGGGAAAAGAAACUGCUCCGAAGAAAGAUAUUGGGGUUCCCAAUGCUUCUCCACGCCCAACGAGAUGCACCAACCUCGGGAUGCUUUACUCCUAACCCCACGACGGUUCCGAGACGGAGCUUAACCUGAGUCUCGGUUAAGAACGGCGAUUGUUAAGGAUUUUGUAUUGGCAAGUUUCGUGAAGUGAGUCGGAGUCUUGAAGAAUCGAAGCGAAUUGACAAGAUUUUGGAAAAAAUCAGAAAAUACCUCACGACGUGAAUCACGAUGGUCAGGUAAAGUUUUAAUUCAUGUUAUGGUGAUUCAUACUUAGUUAUAGGCAUUAGAAUCAUUUAAUCAAAAGUUUAGUUGAUUAGAAAGUGCUUCGGAAGUGUACGGAACUCGAAACAAUGCAAAAUCCAAAAAAUUGCAUUGUGUACCGGUACAGCAAUCAAGCCCGUACCGGUACAGCCACUGACUUGGCUUCGUAUUUCUGUUCCGUCCUUGUGUAACCGGUGACAGCUUUUCGUGUACCGGUACACAGUGUAAAAUCGUGAAAUCGUUCUAAUCCGACUCCAAUUUAUUCUAAAGUCUAUAAAUAAGCUAUUGGGCUUCUCUAACAGAAGUAGUAUCACGAAAAUACAUAUUUGAGAAACCCUAGAGGCUCGGAUUUCAUCUAAAACCUAUUUUCUACAAAAAGCCUCUUUUAGAUCAAAUCGAGAUAUUGAAAUUUGAUAUUAAUAUGUCGAUUUGAUCUCCGCUUCGCUUGGAGUUUCUUUCCCUGGUUUUCUACGAUACUCCAAAGCGAAGGAUCACCAUAUUCAUGAUAUUCUUCAUGGUGGCGUCGUGGAUUCGGCGUGUUUGACGGCGGUUCGUGGAUUCGAGUGGCGUCGUGGAUUCGGCGUGAUUGAAGCUUCGUGGAUUCGAAGUGGAGGCGUUCGUGGAUUCGGACGUGAGGGCGUGGACAACCCAGAGGAUUGCGCGAGAUCCAUAGGAGGUCAAGAGAGGUUGAGUCCGUAGAGUCGGUAAAUCACCUUGUAAUCUUUUCUCUUAGUGGAUUAUUUUUUUUCGCGUGUUGAUCCCGUGGGUUUUUCUCCAAAUUGGAGUUUUCCCACGUAAAUCUCGGUGUGCUUUUUAUUUUUCGCAUUUAUUUUUAUUGCAUCGAGAUUUGUGGUUUUUGGCCAUUACACCUAUUCACCCCCCCUCUAGGUGAUAGAUACAAUCUAGAUAGAUCCUUGGGCUCCUCAAAACUUUCAGCGAUGAUCUACGUUUCACACGGUGCACGAUUCCAUGGAUAAUUUCAUUCGAGAUCGUGAUAGAGGACAUAGCUUACGAUCAUCGGCUUUGAUCAUGCCACUAGGCAUUUGAUUAGGACAUUGCACAAUGAUCCGAACACUUUGUCGCAUCUCUUCGAUACGGAUACAGUAACGAUCAUAGCGAUCUCCUCUGGUACCUACUGGUACGUCAGGAUCCGAUUGGUCAUGAACAUCGUAANUUUUUUUUUUUUAAGGAAAAACUCGAGGUCUGGCGCUUAUUACCAUAGUCGCAGCAUAGAAAAGUCAGGUGCCUGAUGAAAUAGUCUAUGAAAGGGGAUGUCACCUGAAAGAACUGAAGACUGCCUCCAUGCAGAGAAGAGAGAAGUCGGUUCUCCCCCCGCUUCGCUCUCCCCCUCGUGGGGAAUUGAGUAGUUUUUAGAGUAGAGUCGAGGAGAUGACGAAGAGCUGAAGAAGAGAAAGUUUACAUUGCGACGAAAGGAGGUCUCGCUUCGACGUUCUCGCGGGGGUUCUUUCUCUUUCUCUCCGCCUUCAAACGAUUGGUUUCGUUUAUUCUCUCCAACAACUCAUGGAGUAUGGAUCCCUCUCAUUGCUUCUAAUUCUCUCUCUUUUCCUACCUUCAGCAAACUGGGGUACAAGGGUUCUAUCAUUAGGUGUGGGCGCUGAUGAACCAUUUGAUGAGCUUAUGGUUUUGCCUUCCUGAAUACAGGAUAGCCCUCGAAUGGAAGAGAACUUUUAGAAGCGCUCUUGAGGUCUGAUGUGGACCCCCUCUUAAGUAAGCUGUUUCCGAAUCAACAAAAUCUCUAUGCUUAACAUAGACGAAUAAGGAUGGGUUCCGCUGGGCUAGAUCGUGAGCUAUAUGCUUAUAACAUCCGAUCGAGGACCAAUCACACAAAGAAAAAAAUGGGAUUACCUGUCUUUCCCCUCUCUUGUCAACUGCAUACUGCAUGGAGUCUUCCCCGGAAAAAAGGCGAGGCUGUCGAUAUGCUAUUCACAGCCUGAGAGUGAGCAGAGAAUAGUCUUUUUAUUUACUUUAUUUGACCUUUUUUACCUUCAUGUGGCAAACUGGGGAACUUAGGUUCUCAAACUUUACUUUAUUUUCUUGCGCGACGAGAUACUGAUAAAGUAUCAGUAGCCCGUUUUCGCUUAGGAAGACAAAGCAGUGUCAAGCCGAGGGACGAGGUCGCGAUGGAGAAGCUGCUCCCGUAAAGGCUCAAACUCUGGGCGCAGGCGCAUCAGGAGCAGAUAUAGGCGCUGGCGAUCACGGAACUGCUGAUAUGUCUUAGCAACUGAGGAGGGAAGCUGGAGGCGGAGGCGAAGAUGAGACUGCAAAAGGAAAGCAUUUCUCGCCAUGUGGUUUUUGACGAGAAAUGUAAAGGCGACCGGUUAGAGGAUCUGAAAGAGAGAGUGUAAGAAAAUUGAGCGAGGGAUCGAGUGGUGCGGGAACUCCGGAUACUGCUAAAUAGUGGUUUCAGUCUCCACAGAAAGGAAUCAAUUGUUAAGAAAGCAUCUCUGGGCCUGGGCUUGGAUCAAGCAAGCUCAUAAUUUUCUUAUAUGCAGGGAGAGAUUGAAAAACUGCAGACGGAGCAUUUGAACGGUGGUAACCAUAAGCAGUUUCCCUUCAACACAAAAGAGGAAAAGGCACGGCUCUUCCGCGCUGUAUGGGAUUUCAAAGGGGGAGGGGGUAGGUAAAUGAGAAAGGUAGAGUAAGAUAUUUUCAUUCUAACAGAAUGAGCGGAUCCAAUACACAUAUUGUCUUUGACANCAGCAGCCCUACUCUCUCUCUCUUUCUAUAUAUAUAUGUGUAUAAAUAUAUAUAAUUCAGCUAAUAUACUAUCUGUAGCAUGGAGGCCUCUUGUGCUACCAAGCUGUUUCGAUAAUGCAGCUUCUGAAUCGACGAUCGACUUUGUUAGCUUUGAUGUACACUAUCAGAAGUAUAUAGAAACCACAUUUUACGAUUUUUCGACAUCAUUUAUCUGUCUAGGGGUACUGAUUUUUCGACGUCAUUUAUCGAAAAAGUAGUCUAAAAAUUAAUGUAUAUAUAGUCUGGCUACUAUGCUAUUAAUAGCACGAAGCACUUGGUGCUACCAAGUUUUCCACCGUUAGAUCUACCAUUUUCAUCAUUUUCACCGUUAGAUCAUACUAUUCAACUAAUCACCCACUCAACCCUAAGGGGCCCACAUCAUCCUAACCACACAUCUCUUAAUCCAAUGGUCAAAAACUUGGUAGCACCAAUGACUUGGUGCUAUUAAUAGCAUAAUAGCCUAGUUCUAUAUAUAUAUAUAUAUAUAUAUAUAGUGGCUUCCUUUUUCUUUUUUUUUCGACGUCAUAUCUAUUCGUUGUAAUGAUUCAUCUUCUUUUUCCCCGCGUUCUCUGUUGAUUUUGUGUUUCAUUAUUGUUAAAUUGCGUACAAAUUUUCUAUAGUUUUCUGCAUUGCAAGUAUUCAAUACAUUUUUUUUAUUUAUUUUUAAUUUUUCAGUGUAGUAAUGGCAGCUCUAUUNAUUAAUUAUUAGUAAUUUAAUGUGUUGGUAUGUAAGUGUACUCGCAUUUUCUAUGUAUAUUUAGUAUUAAUUUGUUAUAAAAUAAUUUGUAUAGUUAUAUUUAUUGUGUUAUUUUUCUAAUACCUUAAUGGUCCUUUUUUCUGAGAAUUGAGCCAAAUUUGGCGGCUAUAUGCAUGAUGCCGUUUAUGCUGGGAGUGUGCUUCCUCUGCCCCUUAAUGGACUGCCUCUAGUACAAAUACCAUUACUGCCCUAAUUGCGGCGAAAAGGUAUUAUCUUUCCGUCCUACCUUCUUUUUCUAAGUAUACUCACUACGGAAAUAAAUAUUAUUCAAAAAUAUUAAUGAAUAAUAAAAAAAAUAAUAUUAAUAGUUUUAAUAAUUGACUAUUGUAUCAACUUUCCGCCGCAACGCGCGGGGUUCCUUAACUAGUAUUAAGUAUUAAUGCGAAUCCGGAGAAAGCUCCCUCCACGUUUUGGGGUUGUUGGGCCCGCUUGGUACGAAUUCUCUUUAAGCGCAUUAAUGAGGGUUUANAACAAAGUGGAAGCACGGAGGCCUCCGUGCUUACGAAAGCACCCCAGCCCACUCUAUAUAUAUAUAUAUAUAUAUAUAGAGAGAGAGAGAGAGAGAGAGAGAGAGAGAGUCCGGCUAUUAUGCUAUUAAUAGCAUGAAGCACUUGGUGCUACCAAGUUUUCCACCGUUAAAUCUACCAUUUUGAUCAUUUUCAUCCGUUAGAUCAUACUAUUCAACUAACCACCCACUCAAUUCUAAGGGGCCCACAUCAUCCUAACCACACAUCUCUUAAUCCAAUGGUCAAAAACUUGGUAGCACCAAUGACUUGGUGCUAUUAAUAGCAUAGUAGCCUAGUUCUAUAUAUAUAUAUAUAUAUAUAUNNNNNNNNNNNNNNNNNNNNNNNAUAUAUAGUGGCUUCCUUUUUCUUUUUUUUUCGACGUCAUAUCUAUUCGUUGUAAUGAUUCAUCUUCUUUUUCCCCGCGUUCUCUGUUGAUUUUGUGUUUCAUUAUUGUUAAAUUGCGUACAAAUUUUCUAUAGUUUUCUGCAUUGCAAGUAUUCAAUACAUUUUUUUUAUUUAUUUUUAAUUUUUCAGUGUAGUAAUGGCAGCUCUAUUUGGUUAAAUUUAUUUUUGACAAAUAUAGCGUGACAUCUACCAGCAUUUUUCUGUCUACACAGGCAUAUAGUAUUUCGAUUGAAAAUGAAGGGCUUGUUAGUAUUUACAUUAAUGUUAAAGUCUUCAUAGGAGAUUCUGAUACAAAGGUAAUUAGGUGUUGGCGUGCACCCUCCAAUGUUGAUGAGACAGAAGAGGACGUUGCACACCACGCUUUUGCCAAGUCACGUGAUGAGUUCACCUUUGAGCUGAAGGAUGUUAAUCUAGAAGAUAAAAGCUUUAUGAGAAUCUAUAUGAGCGAGUUUUUGUGCACUACAGUGAUCUCGGCAAUAAAUAUAAGUUCUUUGGAGGUGACUUAUGCAUUUUAAAGGUUGCUACAAUAAUCUAUUUACCGAGAAAGACUAGUAUGCUUCUGAACGAAGAAAAAUAAAAGAAAAUUUGAAAAAGUAUUUCUAUCUAAUCAAAGGGCCCUAGGCUGUUGCACUUGGACCAAGUAGUAGCGAGGGAAUUUCUGAGGAAGACCCUACAGUGCCGUUGGGGUAAUAUGAGGAUUGACGGAUUGUCGAAGCUGGCUUCCUUUUGUCGUACUUUUUAAUUUAAUUUUUUCUAUUUUUUAUAUUGUUAUUAUGUUUAGGUCUCUUGAUAUUUCUCUUUCUCUCUCUCUCUCUCUCUCUCUCUCUCUCUCUCUCUCUCUCUCUUCUUUUUUUUUAUUUUUUAUUUUUUUUUUUUUGAGAUCCUGCUUGUAUGGCUUAUGGCCUGACUAUAGUAUUUUUUUGGGAUAAUUUCAUAGAUGCCCCUCUAGAAACUAUUAAUUUCAUCAAUACCCUUCCAAAAUUAGUAAUAUCACAAAUGCCCUUCAAAAUGUGAAAAAUUAUCAUAAAUACCCUCCUCUAGUUAAGACCCGUUAAAGCCCAUUUGAAUCGGAGUUAAAAUUUUAAAAUACCAUUUUUACCCUUUAUCUCUUUUUAAUAGUAGAAAUACUAAUAGGUAUUUCAAAAUAAUUUUUGUAAAUCUAAAUUUGAGUAUUUAAUAUAUAAAUAGUUAAUUAAAUUAUUAAUAUAUAUUAAUUAAUAAAAAAUAUAUAAAAAUUGUAUUUUAAAUAUAGUAUGUUUUUAUCUGAUUUUGGUUUUGUUUUUGGUUUUGGGUUUCGGUUCAGAUUCGGUUUAAAUAUAGACCAAAACUAUAUAACUGAAUUUACAUACGACGGGAUUUUAUUUUUUGGUAUCUAUAACUAAAACUAUCCCCUAUUCAGCAUUGAUUAAACUUAUCCCAUUUUAAAUCGAGUUUAGAUAAAAUUCCGUAUCUAUAUCAAUUCACAUUCCUAAUUAGUAAUAGUAAUUUUGAAAUAAAUUAUAGAUUUUAUUUUUUUCCUAUUUAAAAAUAAAUCACAUAAUUGUUUUGUCGAUUGAAAUAAAAAGAGAGUUUUGUUCAAAAGCUAAAAUAUAUUAUAUUUCAGUUUUUUAAUACACUUAAUGCAGAUAAAAUUAUCGAGAAUAAUUUUGAUUAAAAAAAUUUUUAAGUUUUCAAGAUUAAAGAAAGAUCGGAUAAUUCCUUAACAUUAUUUUCAUUUAAAUUUUUAUAUAUAGUUAUUUAUUUGAUAAAAAAUAAAUAGAAUCAUUAGAUUUGGUAAAAUCAUAAAAAAAAACUAAAAUUUUUUUUUUUUUUUAUACACUGAAAUUAGGUUUUUUUUAAAAUAAAAAGUUAAUGGGAUAUCAACUAAAAAAUGAAAGUUGAGGGAGCUGUUUCAAAAUUGCAUAUAGUUGAGGGGGUUUCCAUAUAUUUUUAGUUAAAAGAUAUUUGAGGGUAAAUAAGUCAUUUUAUAAAUUAACCUAUCUUUAACCAUGUAAUAACUAUAGUAAAACUAACAUAACUAACAGUAGGGGUAUUAAUGCUAAUUUUUUGUGUUUACAGGGGUAUUGAUGAUAUUUUAAACUUUAUAGGGGCAUCUAUGAUAUUUUAAACUUUGGGAGGGGUAUCCAUGAAAUUGCCCCUAUUUUUUUCUACUCCUUUUCCUAUUUUCCUCUUUAGUCUCUUGCUCAUGUUCGAUGUAAGCAUCAUCUUUUCCCGUGGAAGCGCUUGCUAAUUUUUGGUUAUGAUUGUUAUAUUAGAGCUAGGCUGGUAUAUUAUUGGUAGUACGGAGGCCUUCAUGCUACCAAGUUAUUUUCAAUGAUGCGACUUUCAAAUCGAUGAUCGGCUCCGUUAGACUUGAUCUACACUAUUAAAAGUAUUUGGAAAUUAAAUUUCAUAAUUUUUCGACAUUAUUUGGCUAGUGAUCAAAAGGUCUCAAAAUUGACAAUUUUAAUGGUAGAUGUGAUGCGUUUGUAAAUUUAAUGGUGUAAAAUAAUCAAAAUCUAAUGAAAUUUUUAUGGAAAUUUCUUUUCACUAUUUAGAGUAAGAUCAGUAUCUCUUAUCUUAAAUUUAAAUAUUUUAUCAUCAUUUUUAUGAGAUUUUUAUUUUCAGCCAUUCAUUUUUCGACUACUCGUUUGAUAGGUAAAUGAUGUCGAAAAAUUAAGAAAUUUAGUUUCCAAAUACUUUCAAUAGUGUAGAUCAAGUUUAAUAGAGCCGACCGUCGAUUUGGAAACUAUAUCAUUGAAAACAACUUGUUAGCACGAAGGCAUCCGUGCUAUCGAUAGUAUACCAGGCUAGCUUGUUAUAUUAUGUGUUUAUAUAUCCACAGGUUUUUUUUUUUUUUUUUUCCUGUGCCUCCCUUUCGUAUUUAGGGUUUGCGUAUAUACUUUUGCGUUUUGCUCUAUAUGCUGUUUUCAGUUCAAAUAUUGUUGCUUAUCUUUAUGUUUAUAGUGCUCUGUUAUAGAUAUUUAUAUUCUGUAUUCUGAACAUUCAAACAACAAGAGAUCAGAAAAUUAUCCUUGUUGUUUUUAAGCACGUGCACUUUCAGAAGAUUAAGAAGUUAAAGACAUAAUUAUAUGGAAAUAACAAGAAUUGCUAGUGAUUUAGUAAAUAUUAAUAUAAUUUAAGAAUUUGAAUGCCCAUCAUGUUAUGAUGCUUAUACCAAUCAUAAACUUAAUAUAUGAUCUGAUCAUUUAAUAUAUUAUCUUAUCAUCAUACCAAAUAUUUUUAUUAACUGUCCAAAAUUAGAAAGCUAGUAAAACUCAGGCACAAGCAUUUAUAUUUAAGAGGAAACUUCAGAUAUCUGCUAUGGUUUAUUCUUGUAGUUUUUAUUUUCACUUUUCAUUAGCAUUACCAUUAUCUCAUCUAUUAAAACUAUCACAUGCUGCACACGUGUAUUGGAGGUGUUCCGAAAAGGUUGAUACGAAAGUUCCGAAAAAUCAAUAAGAAAGUCAUAAGUCAUCAUAGGACUUAACCGGAAUGUUUUUGGAGUCCCCAAUAGCAAAAAAAAUAACGAUCUACCAUGCAUGUGCACGACACGUGACAAUUAUAACGAAAAAAUGGUGAUAGUGCUAAUAACAAGCAUAACCAGAAACUGUAAAAAUACUUAAGUGAACCUCCGGACACAAAUGAAAAACAGUAAACUACAUACAUGGUAUCUAAGAUUUUUCUUAAAUUUAAUAACACUGUAAGUAAUCCACUUUUGACAGUAAAAUAAUUAUUGGUUACUAGUAAUCCGUGUCGCUCUCACUAUAGUCCAUAUUAUAUAUGGAUAUGAUAUCAGUACAUCAUUUGUCUUUCUUACAAUACGACGACUAGGACUAGAAUGUUCUUAUGAUUACAUAAGAAUAUGUAACAUUAAGAAUAUGUAUGCCAUACACCUCGCUGGGAUUGUAGUUCAAUUGGUCAGAGCACCGCCCUGUCAAGGCGGAAGUUGCGGGUUCGAGCCCCGUCAGUCCCGAACUAGGAUCCGGUGAAUUUAUCAAUUCAUCUCUCUCUUUUCACGGAAAAGGGGGACAGGAAGCAAGAUCUAAUCCCCAGUGGGGAGGGAUCCUUAUUUCUUUUGUUUUUUAUUUCGCAUUUAUCAUCACACAAAUACGGAUACGGGAAUUUCAAAUCUUUCCACUACUCCCGAUUGAUAAAGGAGAGACAUAUCAUAUGUACAUUAGUACAAUCGGUGGUAUUACUAUAUUCAGUAUUUUAAGAGAUACCAUCCUCGUCUUACUUUCUUUUUCGAUUGUUCUUGAUCCAUGAAAUAGAGUAGAGUUAUUUUAUCGGGAGUACAUACACAAAUUCUAUUCGUUUAUUGUAUGAUGGACAAUGAACUUAACAUAAUUAUCUCGACAAAGUACUUUUCAGAUUAAACCAUACUUUUCUAAUUAUGACUUUGUUUGUGUAUCCUCAAUGACUAAUUGUAAACAAUCUAUCUCAUUCUCAUUCAAAUUGCAGACAUCAUUUUUGAUGUACGCGUUUCAGUGCAAAAGAAAAGAAAAAAGCAAGCGAGGACUCUUUUUAGAAAGAGUCAACUCUUUCUUAUAUUUCUAAGGAUCUAGUUCAUGAUACUUUACUUAAUUAAGUAAAGUAUCAUGAAAAGCAAACAAAAAAGUUUAGCUCUUUUUUCUCAUUGAAAGAUUGGUUAUCCACUUUUGACCGUAAAAAAAUUAUUGGUUACUAGUAAUCCGUGUUGCUCUAAAUAUCGAUGUUUUUUCGAAAUGUAAUGAAUAGAAGAGCAACCGAUAAUCCACAUAAAAGAACUGCACAGCUCAAUAACAUCAUACUUACGUGCAUCAUUAACCACUGAGAUUGUAGAGCAGGUACUAAUAUUGCAGAUUGAUGCAUUUCAGUUGAAAGACCCGACAUGGCAAAGCCUUGAGUAAAAAUGGUACUUGGUGCAAUUAUUGUGUCUAAAUCAUUUUGAAGGUUACGUAUCUUAGGAAUCAUAUGAAUAAUGAAGAAACUAUAUGAAAGAAAGAUUGAUGACUCCCAUAAAUUACUUAAUGAAAAAUACCCUGAAGAAAUCCAACGAUGAACUAAUAAUCCUGUUAUAGAGAAAAAAGUAGCUAUCAUCCCUUUUUCUGACCAACCACAUAAUCCUACAAUUUUGUGGACUAAUAAGGUCAUCACAUAAAUCAUAAUCACAAUUGAAAUGAUCGACAAAGAGAUAAAGAGAUACUGAGUUACUAUAUACUAGAUGGACAUGAGAACACCAAAUUGCCGGCAAAACAAGAAACCACACUAGGACUCGGCACAAGUUGCCAAAAAGCACUUUUUUUUUUUUUUUCAUUAUGAUUAAAAUAAUAUGCCUAUAUACAAAGGAAUUGCUCAAAACUCGAAAGGGAAUGAGCGUCUCACUUACAUCGUGAACCAAAACUGUUUUUGUAAUUUAUAUAGGACAUUAGCAUGCUACAGUAUAUAAAGACCGAGUAGUAUUGAGUAUCGAGUCAACCAGCUGCCGUUCAAUUAGAGUACAACUUCCAAACUUUCAGCUCACCGGCUCCAUCUCCUGUAAAAAAGAGACCACCAGGGCCGAUCUCUAAAGUCCUCACUUCCUCCUUGGAAAAAAUCCUCCCUCUUUCAUUGAAUCUGGGAAAUAUAAAGUGCACACGGUAAAACAGGGAAACAACAUUUCAUAGGAUAAUACAAAGCAAGAGUAAGUUACUUUAGUUAUAUGACACACUUACGAUGGUAGGUCGUAGACACGCACAACAUUGUCGUUGCAUGAGCACAUGAGCACCGGACUGGCUUUAGCAUCAUUCACUCCGUGCAGCACAAGCACUCCCUGCAGCAAUUAACAAUAGAUGACAUUAAUGAAAGUAGGGUUAGGUAGAGCUCAAGGACGUAGCUUGCAUAAGCGCGCGUCAUACAAUACAUCAGUUCAACACUACGUAAUUAUAUGGUUCUAUUGAGUAAAAUAAGCAAAAAUAAUCACUUGACUCGUUGAAUAAAUGGAAAUCUCCACCAGUAUUACACCAUGAAAUUGUUCUAAGCACACUAUCUACAUGACAGAAGACACAUUAUUGAAGAAAAGAUCCAAAGUAGAAGAGCAGUUUGCUAGAUGAAUAAGGCCCACUAGUACAGCAGUGCCAAAAUGAUUGAUGUAAAAAUAGGAAAGUUUGAUAUCAAAUCAGAUGCACAAAAUGAAAUGCUUCAGUAUACACUAUGUACAAUGAGAUUAAGUUCCAACUCUAGUAGCAUCAUGCAAAGUUGCCAUCAAAGAGCACAAGACAAUCACAAAAAUAAAGAAAUACAAAUUUAGCGUUUGAGGUCUCGUAAUUGAUUAGGCCAAGAAAGAUGAAGAAGAUUCCGAAUUUUUUAUGACACCACAUGCAAAAGGUAAUCAUUAGAAUUAUAAGCAGCCUACUGAAAAGCAAGACUACUAAAACUUAUAGGUAGGCUAAGUUCUUACAUGCUCUUCCUUGUGGGUAUACUCUACUUCUAUCCCAUUGUUUUCUGCAGCAGCCCAGACCUGCAAAAGACAAAGCAGUAAGAACACACAAUAAAAACGGCAAUUCAAAUGAGAUGUGUUCAAAGUACAAAAAAUUCGGACCUUCACCGUUCCAUCCAAGGAGCAAGAGAACAAAAACUGGUCCCAGCAUAACAGUGACAUAACAACUGAUUCAUGGCCUGUAAGGGUGUGCGUGCACUGGAGAGUUGCAAAGUCCCAAACCUGAAAGAAAAUCCUAAAAGUUAGAUCAUCUCAAUUCCUUUGAUAUUAGUAAAACAAAGAACUCAAAAUAUAGACUGAAAUCCCACAUUCUAUGUAAAUUCUACAAUUUACAAGAGAUACAGAAUCAAAGGCCCAGGUGAAAUAAACUAGUAGGAAUUUUCACACAUCUUUGCAGUCAAGAAUUAUCAAAAAAAAACUCAAUAUUUAUAAUGUUAGUCCUGUCUCACACUUGUAUAGAGCUUCAAUUGAUUAUAUAAUAAUGUGAAAUUCAACUCUAGUGAAGCCUUGGAUGCUAGCUAUGUAGAUGAAAAAGUUUUAACAGGACAAUCUACAUAAAAAACUUCCCUCUUGUGCCAAGCAAUCUAAGGCACAUUCUACGUAAAUGCUACAAUUUACAAAAGAUCCAGAAUCUAAGGCUGUAAGGCGCAUAUAAAAUAAACUAGUGAGAAUUUUCGGAGAUCUUUCCAGUCAAGUAACUUUCUAAAACUUUAAUAUUUAUAAUGUUAGUCCUAUCUACACUUGUAGAGAGCUUCAAUUGAUUAUAGGCUGGAAAAUUCAAAUCUGGUGAAGCCUUGGAUGUUAGCGUUGUUGCUAAAAGAGUUUAACCGAACAAUAUACAAAAAAAACUUUCCUCGUGCCAAGCAAUCCAAUCUUAAAACAGCUGAUAUUAUAGGAGCUUACAAAGUUGUGAAAUUUAAUACUGGAUCUGGAUGUGAUGAGUCGAAUCAGCAGAAACCAUUUCCCAAACAUCAAUUGGUCAUACUAUACAUAGACAAGUCUUGACGACCAAGAUAAAUAUCAACCAAGACCUAGUAUUUAAAAGGUAAGAAAAGGCUGAUGACUGAAUUAUUUGAAGAUCUGAAACAUUUCACUCUAGAUGUGUUAUUCACCUACAUAUGAAAUCGACAACAUAUAAGCUAAAUGAGAUAAAUGUAUUGAAAGUUGAAACGAAUUCGCACACAUGAUUCAUAGGGCCAUUAAGGAAUAUCAGAAGAUAAAUACUGCUUCAGCAUAAAAGGAUAUAAUUAUUCAUGAUCAAUUCUAUUCAGCAUAACUUCCUAGGAUUUUUUAAGCACAUGCACAAGCAAGCAUCUUUUCGUUUGGAGGAUUGAUGGGAUUAUUCUGACUUACCCUAAUUGUACAGUCCCCUGAACCAGAGUAGAGCCGGUGUGCUCCUACAAUGAAUGACACUACAGCUUUUUUAUGCCCACGAAGUGUGGCAGCUGGCUCAAAGCAGCACUUAUCUGGAUUAGGCUUCCAAGCCCAAAUACUUCCAUCCUGCAGCAGCACAAUACAAUACACAGAAAUUUUGAAUUAGAUUUAUACUCCAUCACAUAGAAACAUCAUUGUGCCAAUCACAUAGAAACAUCAUUGUCCAAAAAAAAAAAAAGAAAAAAGAAAAGGCCAAACAAAGAGACAGCUUUGUAGCAUAACCAAUUAUAAGAUUGUAAAGAAAAUUACCUGUGUCCCAGCAAAGAGUGUGUUGUUGCCUACUAUCAAGGCAUAGACCUGACCUUUGGGUCCUUCAAGGGUUACAUCAAUUGAAUCUUGUAAGUUCCAAGCCUGUGAAUUUGCAAAAGAUGGAUAUAACUAUAGUAAAUCAUAAUGAAAAAAGUUUCUUGCUCAUGUGCAUUCAAACAGAUCAAUAAAUCUUAAAAAAAGGUCUACAACUCGUAACCUUGACAGCAUUAGGAAGCCCAACAAAAACCCAUUGCCCCUCACUAAUGAUGCAACCGACUUCGCCUUCCAUGGUAACAACUUGGACACACUGCAGAAAACAGAUUAUCAAUUCAUCAAAGAGAACCACAAAAUCUCAGUUGGUCAGAGAUAAGAUUGUCAAAAACCAAAAGCUAACCUGUCCUGUCCAACAGUCCCAGAUUUUGACAGUCUUGUCAUUGCUCCCAGAGAACAGCUUACCAAACCCAGAAACCAUAGUAAUGCCUGUAACAGCCUGCCAAGAACCAACUUAUCAGAUACAACAAAAACAACAAAAACAACAAUAACAACAACAACAAAGAAAGCAGCAGAACCGAAGAAUUUCUAAGAUUGAAGCCAUUGAAUGUUACCUUGCUGUGUCCCCCAAGACGAGCCAACAAGGAGAAGCUAUCACUAAUACACCAAGAAUGUCUGUCCCGGCAACUCUCACCAUAGCUACAAUUCCCAGAGAUGAAGUGUUUACAGAUCACUUCUCGAGUGUUGCCACAUAGACGAGCUUCUCCCUUAUUCAUUUCCUCAGAAUCCUUAUUGGUGGCCACAGCGGGGGCCUUUCCAUUGCUCCCAAGGUUGCUAUCACAGACAUCCUCCACAGAACAAGCAUAGUGAUUCACGGGCAUUGCUGGGGGCUUCGCAUUGCCCUGUUGAUUAAUCUUGCAGAUUCCUUUUGAAGAAGGGACAUUGGGUUUACUGUUGGUAUUAGGUUUUAUUUCCCCAGAACCACCCUUUCUGGUGGCCACAGUGCAGGUCUUCCCAUUUAUUUCUACAUUCCUAUCACAGACUACGUUCGGAGUAGUACUAGAACCAUCCACGGCCACAGCGGGGCACUUCAUCAUGCAGACUCUUUUCGGGGAGGGGGCAGAGGGUUUAGGGCCUGCACUAGGGUUUCUCCAUACACGGCCCGUACCCUGGUGGCUCUUCUUGACAGGAGGCACCAAAUGAUCGGGCCCAACAGCACGCUUCCGCAUAGACCCGACAUUUGGAUGCUGGGGCUCUCCGUGGAGGAAAGGGCAUGGGUGGCGGGUGCAGCGCCCGGCCUUCCAGUAGAAGCAGACCUUGAUGGUGCUGGUACCAUUAGUCAACGGCGCUGUCCCUCGGGCGUUCUUCUGGAAUCCGUAGCGCUUAGGUUCUAUAGAUGCAUCCGAAUAAUAAAAGUAGAAGACCAUCAGAAUCAGACGAAACAUAUAAUCCAAAACUCUCAUCUUGAGCCAUCUUCCAGGUAGUAGAAAGGGCGUACACGAAGAAGAUCAUCAAAAUCAGACGAAAUAAAAAAUCCAAGCCCUAAUCUGCCAACAUCUUGUAGGUACCGUAGAUCCAUCCGAAUAAUAAAAGCAGAAGACCAUGAGAAUCAGACCCAACAUAUAUAAUCCAAAACCCUCAUGUUGAACCUUCUUCCAGGUAGUAGAAAGGGCGUACCCGAAGAAGAUCGUCAAAAUCAGACGAAAUAAAAAAUCAAAACCCUAAUGUUCCUACAUCUUCUAGGUAAAGACGAAACAUAAUUCCCAAACCCUUAGCUUCAACCUUCUUCUGGGUCGUAGAGAAGUCGAAUAAGAAGAAGAUCACCAAAAUCAGACGAAAUAUACAUCCAAAACCCUAACCUUGCAACUUCCUCUAGGUAGAAACGAAACAUAAAUCCAAAAAAACUGAAUCUUGAACCUUCUUCUGGGAAACGUAUAGGGCGAAGACGAAGAAGACGAUCAAAAUGAGAUAACACAGAUAUCCAAAAUCAUAAUCUAGCAACAUCUUCUUGGAUAGGAGACAAUGUAGCCCCAAUCUCCAAAUCCGCAGAAGUUAAAGAGCAAGAAUCGAUUCCAAAUAUCUAAUUCUGAACCUUCGAGGCAUUCGAAUCUGAAACCCUACAUUCCGCGACUUGCGCGGAGAAGAAGAAAGGCGAAGAAGAAGAAGAACGAGAGAUCGCCGCGGACAUCGGAGAUAUGGAAUCAAACCUGAGCGCUCCGAGGAAAUCACCAUCGCCAUGGUCGGUGAGGUCGUGAGAAGCUCUCAAGCGCUUUCUCUCUCUAUCGAUUAUCAAUCUCUCUCUCUCCCUCUCUGUAGCGAGGUAUCUCCCUUAACCCGAUGAUGACGAACAAUUGCACCGUUGCUCCCCUCACAUUUGUAUUUCUAUUUAUUUACACCCCGACUUGUCUUUUUUUUUUUUUUUUUUUUUUUUAAGGCUGUUAGGUCUUUAUUUUUUUGCUUUAUUUUAGUUAGAGUUUGGUUCGAAUUCGAAAUCAGUAUCAAAAUCAAAAUAAAAAUAAAUUAAAUAUUAAAUAUUAAAAGUUUUCGUCAAAAUUUUAAAAUGACAUUAUACUUUUAAAUAUAUUUUUAAUAAAUUAAAAUUUAAAAUUCAACGGAUAAUUCAAAAUAUAAAACUAAUUUUGAUUUAUUCAAAUUCAAACUUAAAUUAUAAUUUAAAUUUUAAUUUGAAUGCAUAAAUUUAAUUUAAAUUUUAAAUAAAAUUUGAAUAAAAUUUUAUAUUUUUAAAUUAAAUUUAAAUUCAAAUUUAUAAAUUAGAUACGAUAUGCUUGAUUGAAUUUUUAAUUUUAAAUUUAAAGUUCAAAUUAAAAUUUACAUUUAUAAAUAUAAUUUUUAAACUUAACUUAUGUUUAAUUAAAAAAAAGUUUAAAAAAGUUAAAUUUAAAUCGAACAAUUUCAUUCCAACCGGAUUCAAUUUUCAAUCCGGUCUCUAGGCGAUUGAAAAAAUGGAUAAUUAGAGAAUUCCGUUCACCUGAAAAUCGGAAUCGAAAUAAAAAUCCGCAAUACCAAAAAAGACAAAUGGAUUCGUCCAUGGCCGAUUCAAUUCUAGAGUGAAAAUGAGGUAAAUCAAACACGCCCUUAGGCUGCGUUGGUUAAGGGAUAUCCCAGAACAAGGCGGGAUAUCCCUCCAAACAUAAUGCAUUUUUGGAACAACCGGGUUGUUCCCAACAACCCGUUAAGCCGGGAACAACCGGUAAACUUGUUCUCCCUAAAGGAGAACAAGCCGAACAAAAGUUUGGACUUUUUUUUUUCUUUUUUUUUUUUUUUUUGCCUUUUAAAUUUUAUACUUUAUUUAAUUAAUUUCAAAUAAAUUAAAUGAAUGCACAAAUUUAAUAAAUAAAUAUUUAAUAUAAUAUUAUUUUAUGAUAAUAUAAUUUAUACUUAAAUUUAUUAUAUAAUAUAAUUAAUUAAAUUUGAUAUAUAUUUUAUUUAUUAAGUUUUAUCAUUUAUAUAUUAAUAUUUAAUUAUUUUAUUUAUAUUACUUAUUAUAUACAUAAAAUUAUUUUUUCAUAUAUUAUAUAUAUUUUAACUUGUAUUGAAAUUUAUACUUAAAUUUUUAGAUAAUAUAUUUAUACUUAAAUUUUAUAUAUAUAUAAAUAAAUUAAAUUUCAAUAUGUAUUUAUUUUAUUAAUUUUAUCAUUUAUAUAUUAAUAUUUAAUUAUUUUAUUUAUAUUAAUAUUAUAUACAUAAAACAUUUUAUCAUAAUCUAUAUAUAUAUAUAUAUAAUAUAUAUUAUAUAUAUUAAUUGUAUUGAAAUUUAUCUUAAAUUUUAUAUAAUAUAUUAUACUUAAAUUUUAUUAAUAAUAUAAAUUAAUAAAUUUGAUAUAUUUUUUAUUUUAUUAACUCUAUCAUUUAUAUUAAUAUUUAAUUAUAUUUUUUUUAUAUUUGUAUUAAAAUUAUACUAAUAUUAAUUAAUAAAUAUAGGAUAAUUUAAGUAUUUACUUUAUUCAUUAAUAUAUUAUGAAUAAAUUAUAGAAAAUAAAUUAUACAUAAAAUAAAUUAUUAUAUAUAAUAAAAUAAUAUAUUAUUUUAAAUUAUAUCUUACAUAAAAUAUUAUUAUAAAUUACUAUACGAAAUAAUUUUUAAAAUAUUUAUAUAAAAUAUACUAAUAUAAAUUAUUAUUUUUAUUUUAAAAAUAUAUUUAACGUUGUUCUAGACUUUUUAUCCAAACGCUAUUAAGGAUAUCCUCUAGAAUAUCCUCGAAUGCAUCCAAACACAAAUUUACAAUUGUCUACUUUGUACCGGAAUACCCUGUUCUCGGAACAACAAAAGUUGUUCUCCAAAAUUUAGUUUCUCCAACCAAACCAACGCCUAGAGCCCAAUCAUUUAAAAAUUUUUAUUAAUUAUGAAAGCAUAGUACUGGAACUCUAAUUUACUAAUAUAGUCGUGAUUAAAUGUGACCUCAUUGAUGUCAAAUAUAUUUGAUGUUCCAAAAAAAAAAAAGACAGUGGGCGUCAUAUGUAAUAUUGAGUAGUUGAAGGCACAAAAAAUAAUUUUAAUAAUAGAACCGGACUUGACAUAUGGACGGCAAAAGAGGUCAGGGAUAGAAGUGAAUAAUAAAUAAAGGUUAGAGAUUUGGGUCAAUUAAUUCUAAAGUUAGAUUUUUUAAACUACAAAAAAAAAAAAAAAAAAAAAACUAUCAAAAUAAAAUCUACGGUAGAGGUCGAGAUAGAUAGUGCAAUUAAACAAAAAUUUUAAAAAAGCAAUGAUAGUCCUCCCGCCCUAAUGGUCAGCUAAUUUUUUAUUUAAUUUUAUAAAGAAAAAUAAUAAUGGAAGACACCUAAACUAUAUUAUUUUGAAAAUGGAGCUAUGAAAAGCUUUGCAACUAAACCUCUUAAACUAUAUAAAAGAGUUCAAUAGACUCCUACACUAAAUCAAAGUUAUUAGGUAUAUAGUUAUUUUGAUCGCAUGUCUUAUGCAUAAUCUUGACGAUUUUGAAACAUAAAAAAACUAUUGGAAAUAAUAAUCAAAACUUAAUUAAAAUAUAGCUUGAGAUACGUUUAAAUCUUUUAUUUGAUUAUGAUUAUGAUUUUGAUUUGUACUAUUUUCUCUUGUACCAAUUGUUGGACCGAUACUUAUGCCAAUACUGAUUAUGUAACCUAAAAUCUAAAAUAGAACAAAAUAUAAUAUGAAAAAAAAUAUUGAAGAAUGAAGAAGAAAAUAAACUAAUACUUUAUUAAUAAAAAUAUUUAAUUAUAUUCCGGGCAAUACCCAUGCAACCAUGUUUACUUGUGGCUUAGCCAUCUAAUUAAUCAAUGACUAACUAUAUAUAGCCAUCAAGUCAAAAUAAAUGAUAAAUCUAACUUUUACUUUGGAUAAGUACAAAUCCUAAUAUAAUCAAAUAAAAGAUUUAAACUUAUCUCUAACUAUAUUUUAAUUAAGUUUGGAUUAUUAUUUCCAAUAUCCUUCCUUAAUCCAAACUUCAUCUUCAAGUCGCAAAUUUCGUAAAAUACACACUUUGAUUUUACAAUCUCUGUUGCUGUAGUUGUUAUCUUAAUUCGAGUUAUGCAGCAUGACGCUAGUCAAUGAUGUUGCCAUACAUGAAAUCUUUGCCACCUGUAAUACUGAUUAUUCACAUCAUCCUUAAAGACUUACGGGUUCCUGCAAAUAUCUGGAUUGUUCGUUGGUUUCAAAGUACGCCUC